UACGGGGGGACCUAAAUCGUGACUUGAUUUUCCCUUUGAUUAGAAGGCGAAACUAGCGUGCUAAGGCUAUCGAGUAGCCACACUCGCUCGUUUCCCUUAUCGGAAGGGGACUCUCACGCAAAUGUACCCUAUAACUAGUAUGAGAUGCAAAAAUCCUAAAAUGAGGGGAAAAGGGGCUCGAGGAGCAUGCCAGAUGAUAAAACUAAGGGAAAAUGCAUGAUAUGUAGUGAACAAGCAAAUGAUAUGCUAAUGAGGGGAAAUCCCUAAGGGUCUAGCGUUGGACUAGCCCAUUCUAUGAAUUCCGACUAGCGUUGGACUAGCGGAAACGUACAUUCAUCCAUUCCAUUCAUCCAUGGCUAUGAAAGCAAGUAGACAUGCCAAAAUACUUGUAAACACAUAGCACAUAACAUUUAGCAUGCUCGACUAGAUGCAAGAGCCUAAUAAAGCAAUUAAACAUGUAGCAACAAAAACAAGCAACCAAGGGGAAGGGGAAGUGGACCAGAUGCUCUCCGAGCCCUAUCUAUUACAAGCCAAGAGGUGUACACAUACCCCAUAAAAGCAUAAAGGGGAAAGGGAAAUGGACCAGAUGCUCUCCGAGCCCUAUCUAUUACAAGCCAAGAGGUGUACACAUACCCCAUAAACUUAAAUAAAAGCAAAAGCAAGUAAAUGCACGCAAGGAGAUAAGGAAAGCGAAGUAGACAGGCAUAUUCACAUAACACGCAGGAGCACAUAGGGUCAAAUGAAGUGCAAACAAAGGAUAGAGUGUACCUCCCUCGAAUCGAUGCCCAAAUGGAAUGGAACCACUUAUUUACCCUCCAAAAUAAUAAAAGAGUCAAGGCAUCACUUUAAUCAAGAAAUAAUCACAAAAGAUGAAAAUGAAUUGUGAAAUUGAAUCAAUUAAAUCAUGUAGACAACCCACAUUUAAGAAGUCAAAAGAAGAAAGGAUUUGAUUGCAAAAAUUAACAAAGCUUUGGGGUCAAAAUUGAAGAAAAAUAAAGUUCAGGGACUCAUUUGCAAUUAAAGUAAGGACCGAAUUGAAAGAAAUUGAAGACAUCCAGGGCCACAGUAUAGUUAAGGAGAAAUUCAGGGACUGAUUUGCAAAAUCGUUUUCUGGUUUCUUCAUGGACCAGGCUAUUGGGCAAUUUUAUUCACUUCUUGGGCCAAGACCACUUGGCCCAAUCUAAAGUUCAAGGAAAAACGAGUGGGCUAGCCCAUUUUUAUCAAGUAAAAGCCAACAAAAUGCAUGGGCUUCAAAUCUCUAGCCCAAAUUACCAACCCAGGAGAUAAACAAAACAAAACCCAAUCCAAACAAACAAACCACCAUCAAGACCCAAUCAAAAUAAACCUAAUCCAAUUCCCACUAAUUCUUGUUACACCCAUCAAAAUAAUAAGAUAAUUAAAAAACAUACUUAUCAUAUCAUCAUCUCAGAAUUAAUCUACCCAACAACUCACUAAAAAUAUAAAAGGGAAAUUGAAACUUAGAAAGGACAAGUCAACUUGAUAUUUUUAAUUUUGGGCCACAAUGAAAUUUCAGCAAAAAUUAAGGGGGGAAAUUGCAAUUUUUAGAACUUCACUCAUCUAUGAAUCGUGCAAGCUUUCUUAUUCGAUGCAAAUGAAAGGGCAAAGUUUCUGCAACUUCCAGAAAUCCAGCAAAUUUACAAGGCAAAAAUCACACCACCAUCAUCCAACAUAAAAUACAACCAAGACUUAUUCUUUUUGGUUCAAACUUCUCAUUCGGGCGUUUUAUCGAACAGGUGGAGAGCAUUGAAAUUGCAUCAGAUUUUUUGCUCAAUUUGACGUAAAUCAGCACCCAAAAUUAUCAAACAUCCAAAGCAAACUCAAAUUAACAACAAACCAGCAUAUAUGUUCUUAAAAUGACAAAACAAUCGGCAUAAAACUUGCCAUAUCCACUCACGGCAGUCAUGCUUUGAGAGAAAUACUGAAAUGUAAAAGAAGGAGGAAACUUACAGGGGUCUCUCGGUGAGCUUUGCUGGCGGUGACGGUGGAUUCCGGUGGUGGUGGCGAUUCCGGUUCUUGGCGCUGCAAUGGUUGAUUUGGAACGAGAAUCAGCAGCUCUGGUGGUUGCAUCAGUUGGAGGCUACCUCUCAGCAAUCGCUGCAGCGGUUGCGACAGAGGAGGAGGCCGACGGGGUAGGUGGAAGAGGGGUGGUUGCGGUGGAUUCCAGUUGCUCUGUUUUCCAGAUUUGUCCUUCCAUUUGCCGAAUCUUUUCCCUCUGUUUCCGUUCGCAGCUGCGUCCUUUUCUCUCCCUGCCGAAGCUCUUUCAUUCUCCCCAGUCAGAUGAAACUCCCCUCCUUCUUUCUAGCCGCCACUCUAUUUUCUAGAUUUCCUCUGUUUUCAAUUCUUCCGUAGCUCCUUUUUCCUUUUUCUUCAUCCGCUGGGCCUUUUCUUUUUCCCUAUAGUUUUUCCAUUUCUUUCUGGCCGAUUGACCUUAGCCGCCGUCGGCCUCUGUUGCCCCUUUUUUUUCGCAGCCGCAACUCCUUCGUUUUUUUUCGCCAUUAGCCGACCUCCUCUUUUUGCUCUCAGCCGAAGCCCUGUUUUUCUGGCCAACCUUCUCCUUUUCUGUUUUUUUUUUUGUUUUUCUUUCUCUUUUUUUAGUUUUUAGCCCUCACAAAAUUCUACUUUGACCCCCAAAAAUUCCUUAACUUCCCAAAUGUCCCUAACACCUCACCCCUUAGGUGCUUAGUUGUCUAAAACAUAGAAAAGACACUUGUCCAAGUGCAUGCAGUCACACUUGUCAUUUUCACUUUUCCUUUCUUUUUCCUUUUCUCUUUUUCUUUUAUUUUUCCUGGAAAUUAAUGUGAAGCCAAAAAUACACUAGAACAAAAAUAAAAUAAAUAACAAUAAUAAAAAUAAAAAUAAAAAUAAUAAUAAUAAUAAUAAUAAUAUAAUAAUAAUAAUAAAUAAAUAAGAAUAAUAAGAAAUGAAAAACCUAAAAUUGAAACAAAUAAAGCUAAGAUGAAAUUAAUUUAAAAAAUCAAAAAUUUGGUGUCUACAUCUUCCUAGCCCAAGUGAAGCUCCAAGUUGUUAUGAGUUUGUGUGACAAAAUUUGAAGUGAAAAGGUGCAAGAUUUGAGUGAAAUGAGAUGAAGUUUUUGGUUCCUCUUCUCCUCCAAGUUUCGGCCAGCAAGAGAGGGUGAGAGAGAGUGAAAAUCUGAUAUGGGAAGCUUCUCAUGGAAGCUUGAUGGUUGGUGGCCUUUUUGGCACAAAAGUCAAUUCUUACUGGUGCGCAUACGCCCGCGUUUCGUGUCCGAUUCCUCUCGGGUUUGUUUCACUUGUGCUCUAAGCCUCUAAUGCACUUCCUUUAACACUAUUAUUAUCCACUCUUAGUAGUCUAAAGUAAAUUUCUAAAGUCCUUCAAUUAGUCGCACGCGUGAAAAUGCGAACUUCAGACUCGAGCGCGAUAAAGCGCAAUUUCUAAGAAAUUCUUGUAACGAUGAUAUAACUAACCAAUACUCGGGGUAAUUAAUCAUAAAAAAUACCUAUUUUAAGACUAAGGCAUGAGUUCUCAAAUCUCCAAGGUCACUGUACUCUCAAAUCGAAUAUUGCCUCCAAACGCGCAUUCACUAUUUCUUACUAAACGAGCUUCCGAAAAUUAAAUUUAUUAACGGGACAUUUUAAAAAUAUAUGCAAGUCAUAGUUUCAUGUAAAUGGUUUUAAAAUGGUUGAAAUAAAUUAUUCGGGGAAAACAGGUGAAUAAAUAAUUAAAUAAGCUAGUAAUAUACGAUAAAAUAAGAAAAUUUUCGGGUCCUCAUAUCCUCCCCUCCUUAAAAAGAAUUUCGUCCUCAAAAUUGACACAUAGAAUAAUAGUCAUACCCCUUAAUAGUCACGCUUAUCAGGUCAAUCAAUAACUUACACUCUGCAACCCAUAUCUCACAAUUUCUAUUCACCCAAUUAGCAGUCAAACUUUGAUUCUAACUCAUAAAUUUAGGGUUUUGCAAAUGUGUGUAUCGUACUAUGGUCACUUAGAACCUUAACUAAACAAUAGAAAGCAAGAAUCAUACCUUCAAUGACCUUAGCGGGAUUGGAAACCUACUGAUAAUCUAAUGCAUAAACCCUAGCCAGCGCUUUAGAUCAACUUCCUCCAACACUAGACUGUUUCGAUACCGACUUGUCUGGCCGUUGAGCACUACCUCCUUCCUUUGGUAUACUCAGACAAUUCGCGAUCUGAUGUUCAGUGCUGCCACAAUACAAACACUUUCCCGAUUUCUUCCAGCACUCAUUCUCUGUAUGGUUAGGCUUAUGACAAUAACCACAAAUAACUUAAGGAGCCACAGCCUGACCACUUGGAGGUAUCUCCCUCGGUUGACCUCGUCCAUUGUGGCCUCCUCUUCAUUGAGUCCUUUUUGGUGUAUUAGAUGUCUCUACUCCUCCCGUUCCUUUUUCUUUUUUAGAAGGUGGGGCACCCUUAUCUACUUGUCCAAGACGAUGACUAGGAGUGCCCCUUUUCUUGGCAUGAAAAUCCUUAACUUGUAGCCUUGCACUUUCGACUCUCUACGCCUUCUCUAGGGCUUCGGUGAAAGUAGAGAUUUGGGCCGCUGCUAACCCCUCUUGAAUCUCCACGUUAAGUCCCUGUACAAAUCACCUUAUCCUUCUCCUCUCAGUGGCUUCCAAUUCCGGGACGUACCUAGAAAGUUUAGUAAAUUUUCCCUCAUACUCAGCCACGCUAGAGGCCCCCUGCUUCACUUUUAUGAAUUCGUCCUCCCGUUUCUCUUGAACCAAGGGCGGGAGAAACUUCUCAUUAAACUUUCCUAAAAGGUUUUCCCAGGUCUAAGGGGUUUGUGCUCUUUCCCAUUUUCCCCUUAUCAUAUCCCACCAUGCACGUGCUGCACUCUCAAACUGAAAGACAGCAAAAGUCACUCGCCUCUCCUCCUCAUAAUCUAGGGCGGCGAAAAUAUUUGUCAUUCUUUCUAGCCAAUUCUCCGCUAAUUUGGGGUCAGGUCCUCCAAUAAACUUAGGCGGAUUAAACUUCAGAAACCUCUCCAAGUCUCAAUCUUCCCCUCUAUCCUGUUCCCCAGGUUGGUUAAGUGGCCCUGGUCCCUGUCUCUCAGUUAAUCGUUCUAGGAUAUCAGUCAUCCUAUUAAUGGCAGUAGCCACUUGGUUACCCUCUACAUACAUUCUCUUGUCCCUGCGUCGGCCCAGUUGCCGAUCCCUGGUCAUCCCCGUGAGGUUAGGUUUGUCUAGUCCCUCGCCCACGACCUCGACCACUCCUUCGUCCGUCCAUAAUUCUAAUGGUGCCUAGUGCAAAAAUAAAAGUGAUAACGCGAGGAAAUACUCAAAACAAGAGUCAAUCGAGAAACAUUGAAAAUAACAAUAAUUUACAUUCAUUAACACUUUAAAGUUCAUACAAUUAGCAAGUUAUGGGGGAAUUACAAAAAUAUUGCACAUAGGUGCCACAAAAGUACUUUUAGUCACAUACGACUAAAUUAAAGUCAAGUGCCUCAAAAGUAGGCCACACAGUCAUACAAAAAUACAAUGGCCUUGGCACUAACAUCACCCCAGCUAAUUCUAACUGUGACACCCCACUUCUCCCUAAGGCGAACCAAAGGGUAUCCGUGGAACGCCUGCCCAGCUCUUGCCAGGACUCACUACAAUCCACAAUUCAAAAGCUCGAAAUACUUCAAAUAACUUCAAUAUAUAAUUAAAGUACUCCAAAAUAUUGCAUGCUUACAAUUGGUUAGCUUUCAAGCUUAAUACAAUCCAAGAGAAUAUGUACUACAACCAUCCGCUAUAAUACGACUUAAGGUCUUCAAAAGAAAACAAUCUAGUACCAUUCACGAGCACUCUUGGUCUCGAACCCUGUUAAGGAAAACAAAAAUGUGGAAUGAGCUACAUAGGCCAGUGAGGUUCCAAGACACUCUAAUAGUUCUAAUAAAUCAAGUAAUUUGAGCAUACCACAUGUAUGGUUCAAGGUUGCAUAUUUGGCACCUUAACAUGAGAUAGUUAUCAUUGUACGAGUAAUUUGAGCAUAACAUAAGCAUGGUUCAAGGUUUCACAUUGGCACAUUUACAAUAAGACAGUUUUCAUGAUACAGAAAUAAACACAUACUGAAGGAUACGGUGUUCCAGAGGAACCAUUUCGGUCAACUUCACCUUAUAACUCCUUGUCCCCUCGGUUUGUCUGGCCAUCACCUUAUCCCUCCAGUGGUAGUACUCGAGUAUACCGAAACGGUGUCCCAGGGUUCCAACCUACCUGACCGAGCCCAGUCCUGGCUCGAAUAGGUUAGUAACCAAGGGCAGGGCCCAGUUCAGCUUAGAGCUUACAACAUGCACAAGUAAUCAAGUAAAUCGGUGAACAGUAAAAAUUUAUCAUUUUAGUAGGUCGAGUGAGAUAAAGUAUACACUCGCCUUAAAACGGUGGCCGAUUUCAUAUGAGCAAUUAUGAUUAACACUUAACACUUAAACACAUAAGCAAUAUACGGUAAUUUCAUAUGAACAUGCAAUUUACGAUAAUCAAGUAAUCAAGUAAGUAGGUAAUCAAGUAAAUCGAUAAACGGUAAGUAGUCACGGUUAACAGUAAACGGUAAUAGUUCACGGUUAAUUUGAAGACAUUUAUCAUUUUAGUAAGUCGAGUGCGAUAAAGUACACACUCGCCUUAAAAUGGUGGAAAAGUUCAUAGAAGCAAUUAUCGGUAACACUUAAUAGUUAAACACAUAAUGACCAUGGAGUAAACAUGUCAUAAAACUAUUCAAAUCACGUAGUCUUAUAUGGAACACUCACCUAUUCAAAACAAGUGAGUAAGUGCUCAAACAAGUGUUUAGGCGUCAGAUUCGAGUUCCUCUUGAAGGUCCCCUUGAGCGCCUGAGCAAAUAAUAAUGAACUAUUACACAUUAUCGCUUAAAACCCCUAAUUAUCAAGGAAGAUUGCACUCAUGUACAAUCUAAGAAGAUAUCCUAGAAUGAGCCUUAAUUUCUCGCAAAUCGAGGCUCGAAGUGGGGUUUUAAUAAUACAAGGAAAAUCUGAUUUUCAUCUUGAAAUCAAGUGUAAAACGGUCAAGCAAUCUUGAAGGAAAAAGGUGAGUUCUAAAAACUCAAUUUCCUUUAAGUUCGGAAAUUUCAGUUUUGACAAGUAAUCUUUGAAAAAUCGUAUUUCAUUCUCUGUAAAUCCAAAAUUGGAAACCUUGGUACCGUUGGAAACUACUUCCAAAGUACUAAAAGUUCCUAGAAGGCAUUUUUUCAUGAUUCCAAAUUGAAGGCAUUCAAAUUUUGGCUUCAAGUUUCUAAUUUGAACUCCCAAGACAGCUUUGGAGUUGGUUUUCGGCAAAUUUCAGAAAUUCGGUAAAAUUUACGAAAUGUGAACUAGCCUCUCAAAUUUGAAACUAAAUUAGAGUUACAAUCAAAUUUUAAAACAAAAUAAAUGAAACAAGAAUCGAAGUUUUGAGCGCCAAGAUAUAGCAGCUCAAACUUGGCUAAAAAUUCCUCAUUGAUCAAGAAUUUUCAGAUUUGAAACAUGAACUUUGGGACUUUAGUUGGGUAUUGAAAUAGACUCAGAAUGGCACCAAAUUUGGUAGUAUUACUCUACCAUAUAAGGGAUAUUCCUCUGUCAAAUUUCAUAUAAAAAUUCAUUCGGGAAGUCAGUUAACAAAGCCACUAAAAUUUCAAGAAUUUCCAAGGCAAAUCUGCCUUGUACUUCAGUUUUCCUUUUUCAAACAUUUGGCCAAUGAAAUCUUCUCAAACAUGGUUCAUUUAUGAAGAUAAGGUAUAAUAAACAUCCAAGAUAUGUUUGAUAGGUGAUUAACACCAAGGAUUUCGAAUAACAAGUCCCAAAUCAAGAUUAGCUAUAAAUCAGUCCAGAAUUAGGGUUUUCUUUCACAAAGACAGCUCUGAAAUCCGGCCACAAUUCAACUCAGAAUUGAGCGUGGUUAGUGACUUUGGAAACUAAAUUCAUAAGGUUACAAUUUCUCAGAAGGAAUCGUUUUAAAAUUCUAUCCAUAACUAGCUCAAAUUUGAGCAUCAAGUCGCAGCUCAAAACAAGGCUUCCAGUACAGACGAGAAACAGAAUAGGAAAUUUUACAAGGUUGGUACGGCUCACUCAUAUGGAAUCAGGGCAUGCAUUUUAUACCAUUGAAAAACUGAAAGUGUCUAGUUUCUAAUGCCACAAACGACACUCGAUUUCGAUAUCGGAGCAAAGAGUUAUGGCCGAAAGAAAACCACUGCUAGAGAGGCUCGGGUUACUUUUCCAGUUUUGCUACAUUUUCGAAAUCUCAACUUUUGGCUAACCAAUUUGGAUGAUUUUUGGUGGAAACUUUCCACACAACCCACACAACAUAUUUACAUCAAAAUCAAGUCAAUUGAACCACAAAAAAGUGCACUAAUGGUCACGGCAAAACAGGGUCAGAAUCGUCACUUUUGCCCAUCUCACUUCCUUUGAGUUUUCUUUCACAACACAACUUAUUUUCACUAGAUUAAGCACUAAUCCAACAUAAAUAACAUCAAAUCUCAUCAAAUCAGUUCAUCAAGCCAUUUUGGGAUUUCAUAGAGCCCACUCACAAGAUUUCCAACAAUAUAAAGCUACCCACAUGAAUCUAUGAGCUCACAAGUGUAAUACAGCUUAUAUAAACCAAGAUUCAAGAGCUUGAUCAUCAUUUACCUCCUUAGAUGGCUAGAGCAGAAAUUUUGGGUCACCUUAAGCCCAAGAAAACCGUAAGAAACAAGCUCCUUGCCUAGCUUAAGUUGAUCUCCAAGUGGUUUGCAAGUUGUGUGUAAAUUUUGGAGUAAUUUGAUGAAGAAAUAAAGUAAGAAAGUGAAGAGCUUUGGUUCCUUCUUCCUCCUCUUGGAUGGCUGGCUGCUAUGAGUGAAGAGAGAGAUUGUGUUUGCUGAAAAUGAAGCUUCCUUGAGAUGCUUAAGUGUGUGGCAAAAAAUGUUUCAAAAGUCAACUAGGAAUAGUGCGCGUUCGCACGCGUUUUGUUCCUGAUUCCUCUCAGGUUUGUUUCACUUGUGCACUAAACCUCCAAUGCACUUUCUUAAAUAUUAUAAUUAUUCACUCUUAAUAGUCUAGAAUAAAUUCCUUAAAUCUCCAAUUAACCGCUCCAUCUCGAUAUACGCGAACUUUCGAUUUGCACGCGUUACGGUGAAACUUCCAAGAAAUUCUUAUAACGAUAGUAUAACUAACCAAUACUAAGGUAAUAAAUCAUGAAAAUAACUAUUUUAGAAAUAAAAACAUGAGUCCUCACAUGAGUCUAGUAUUAAUUCCUCAAAUCUCCAAUUAAUUUGUACCAGCGCGUCUUUCAGAAAACUUUUGACGCGCGCACGGUAUACGCUUAAUUUUAACUCACUCACAUCUAAUUUCUCAAUUAACUUUUCUUAGUCUACUACUGGUCAUUCUUAAUUUUCCAAGACUAAUGUACUCUCGGAUCGAACAUAGUCUCGAAAAACGUGUACUCCUUAUUUCUCGCUAAACGAGCUCUAGAAAAAUUAAUUUUACUAACGAGACGUGUUAAAAAUAUAAUUGAGACAUUAUUCCAUGUAAAUAAAUUUAAAAUGAUUGAAAUAAAUUAUUUAUAGAAAAUGGGUGAGUAAAUAAUUAAAUAAACCAGAAAAAUAAAAUAAAAUAAAAAUAAGAAAAUUCGGGUCCUCACACUAACUAUAUCAGUCAAAAAGGUCUAUCACUCUGGAUCUAGUCCAUAGUAGGGCUACCAGGUGGAAUCUCCUCCUCAGGAUCCUCCUCCGGAUCCUCCUCCUGAGCCGGACUCUGGAUAAUGUCCAUCACCUCAUCAACCAACAUACUAGUAUCUGCUAAGAUCCCAGAAGCCCGAUCUCGGACCUCCUCACCUAACCUAGUAAGUCGAGCCCUAGUUCUCUUAAACUCAUCACGAAUGACCUCAGCAGUAGCCACCUCGCCUGCCAAUACCUCCCCAAGCUCGGCAAUCCUUUCACCAUCUGGCUCAGCUCCUCCACUUCCUGGAGUAGAUCUCGGUUGGUGUUCACCAACUGACGACACUCGUCGUCAAGGGCUAGUACAAGGUGAUUCGGGUAUGCAUACGUCAACCUACACGGACAUCGAGGAUACCUAGUAGCGGGCGAAUAGCGCAUGUGAGCUCCUCCACCAAGAGCUCGAUAGUAAAUAGGUCUAGGGGCUCUACAUGGCCAUUGACAUGACCAUUCCCAUUAGCAGCCGGUUCCCCAUUUCCAUUUUCCAUCCCUGCAAAACAACCACAAUUUUUGAGGUCAGAAACUUAAAGUCACUAACACGCUCAAACAUCGCUUAGGAAAUAACUAAGUUAUCUCAUUCUUACUCUCAAGGCUAAAGUCUCUAACACAUUUCCCCGAAUAGAUCUCUAAACCUAGGCUUUGAAUUUCAUCCUUACAAUUAGUCACUUAACUUUCCAACAAGUCCCACAGUACGGUAUCCUAAACUUUUAGCCUAAGACACACUACAAAGAUCUGAAGCCUAGGCUCUGAUACCAACUGUGACGCCCCCACUUCUCCCAAGGGCGAACCCAAGGGUAUCCGCGGGACGCCUGCCCAACUCUCGCCAGGACUCGAGACAAUUUUAAUUCAAACUUGAAGUCUAAUGCUAACAAUGAAAGUCGGAAUAAAGGUACGAAGUCAUUUCCAUACAUAAAUAUUCAAUCUUACAUCACAAUUUCAAACUUACAAUCACUUUUCCAAAAAUAUACAACAUCCAAAAGUGUCUAGUCGAUUACAAUCGAAACACUAAUACAAAAGUGCCUCAAGUCGGCAUUUCCUUAACUUCUUCCAUUCAGGUUCUUGUUAAGGAAAAUAAACUAAUGGGAUGAGCCAAUACUCAGUGAGGCCAAGAAAGUCAUGCAAGCACGUAGUUCAAGUAUCAAUAACAUUUAUGCCAUAAAUAAAGCGAUAAAAUCAAGUAAUUCACGAUUAACAAUUAAACACACUUGAAUAGGAUACGGGAGCUCUCAGGAGCUAAUUUCCACAUGAUUUGCCAAGGCUCGAUCCAAUACCCCCUCGUGAUGACACUUCGUCAUCCGGGUAGAUAUUAAGUCCGUAGAACUUCAUUUAAUACUUCCUCCAUCCAUCAUUCCACCCUCUCGGAUCCGUAACCAAACACGCACGAAAAGGGCGAUACUACACGAAUAUGCCGAACAAGAUCUCAAGAGAUCAAGUUUCGUUUUUAAAAACACGCACGAAAAGGGCGAUACUUCACGAGUAUGCCGAACAAGAUUUCAAAAGAUCAAGUUGUGUUUUGUAAUAAUCCCAUGGUUCAUCAAGCUUCUCGACAAAGCCCAUGCCAGCUCGAGUCGCAAGAUCGGCCAAUGAGAUUUGGGCGUCCCCAUAAGUCGAGGAGGUUCACUCCACUCGACAAUAUGACACACACGACAACACGACAUGCACACGUAAAUGAGUAUAUUUUGCCUACGAGAUUCACUCCAAUCGCCUUUGAAAAUCACGUUUAAUGCAAGUAAAAUUUGAGUAAAGGAGAGCGAGUGUGAUAAAGUACACACUCGUCUCACCAAGUGAUAUUCACAUAUAUAAGCAGAUAAAUCAAGUAAACACAACAAGUCAUGCACUUGACACUCACCAAUUCAAAAUAAGUGAGCAAACAAAGCUUUAGGUGUUCGCACCGAGAUUCCCUUCGAAAUCUCCUUGAGCGCCUGGACAAUUCACAAAUAUUUCUCACUCACAACCACGUAGUAAUCAAGAAAGAAGGCACACUUAAUUUGACUAGUUGAUACCUCAAACACGAACCUUAACCACUCAAAACAAAUGUUCAAAAGUGAGGAUUCAUUAACACAAGAAAAACUAAUUUCCUUCACCAAAUCGGGUUAAAAACGAUCAAUCAUUAUCAAAGGGUAGAGAAAAGUUUCCAAAAACUCAUUUCUCAUCAAGUUCAAAAAUUUCAGAUUUGAGGUGAAAUCUUUGAAAAAUCGUAUCUUAUACUCCGUAGGUCCAAAAUUGGAACACUUGUACCGUUGGAAACUACUUCCAAAGUACUAAAAGUUCCUAGAAGACACUUUUCCGUGAUUCUAAAUGGAAGAUACUCAAAUUUUGGUUUAAAACUACUGACUUGCACUUCCAAGACAGAUUCAGGGUUGGAUUUCGGCAAACUUUAAAAAUUUGGAAAAAUUCACAAAAUGUGAACUAGUCUCUGAAAUUUGAAACUCAAUUAGAGUUACAAUCAAAGUUUAAAAAAAAACAAACGGAACUAAAAUCGGAGUUUCGGGCAUCAAGAUAUAGCAGUCCAAAAUUAGCUAAAAAUAAAGACAGAUUACACAUUUUCCAGAUUUGGAAAAACGACUUUGGACCAUCAUUUGGGUAUCGAAAUGGUCUUGAAUUGACACCAAAAUUGGUACAACUCAACUUCCAUAUGAGGAAUACUCCUCUUCCAAAUUUCAUUUGAAAAUUCACACGGGAAGGUAGUGUACCGAACUACCAAAAUUCAAGAAAAUCCCAAGACCAAUCUGUCUUUUGCUUUCUUCUUCCUUUUUCAAACAUUUUGUCCAACGAAAACGACUCAAAUCUGGUUCAUUUACCAAAAAAAAGUCCAAGAAACGUCCAAUACACAUUUGGUGGGUGAUUGACAUCAAAAUUUGCAAAAUAACAAGUCCCACUUCGAGCUAAGCCAUUCGGCUAGCCACAAUUAGGGUUUUCUAUCACUGGUGCGGUUCUGUAAUUUGGCCAUAACUCAGUCAUUUCAACUUGGAAUUGGGAAUAGUUGGUGGUGUUGGAAACUACAUUCAACAGGCUACAAUUCAUCAGAAGAAAUCAUUUCGAAAUUGAGUUCUUAACUAGCUCAAAUUCAAGCAACACGUCCCAGCACAUCACUGACUCUCGAGCAGAGCAACAAAACAGAAUAGGUAACUUUGAAGAACUAGUACGGCUCACUCAAGUCGAAUCAGGGGAUGCAUUUUAUACCAUUGGAAAACUGGAAGUGUCUAGUUUUAAAUGUUGCAAACGGCACUUGAUUUCGACAUCUAAGCAGAGAUAUAUGCUCAAUCAAAAAUCACUGCCAGGAGACCCCUGUUACGCGAUUUCCAGUUUUGUUCUUGUCCAAAACUCAUCUUUUUUCUCAACCAAAUCAAGUAAUUAUCAGUAAAAACUUUCCACAUAACCUAUACAACAUAUCUACAACAAAUUCAAGAUCAUUUGACCACAAAAGAAAUCGAACCAAGGGCUCUGCAAAAAUAGGGCAGAAUCAGCUAAGCUUCUCAUGCAACUUUCCUUUGAUUUUCUUUCUACUUUUCCAACUUAUAUCUACUUGUUUAACACUUAAUCAACAUAAAUAACAACCAUAAUCAUCAUAUCAGACCAACAUGUCCAUUGUGGGGUUUCAUAGAGCCCACUCAAGUGAUUUUCAACCAACCAACGUUUCCCACAUGAAGCUACAAGCUUCCAAGUCCAAUCGAACUCACAACAAUCAAGUUUCAAAGGUUGGAUGAUUUACUACCCCUUGGUUGAUGAAACUUAGAAAUUUCGGUCACCUCAAAGCUCCAAGAAACCGUGGAAAUGGUGCUCUCUUCCUAGCCCAAGUGAAGCUCCAAGUUGUUAUGAGUUUGUGCGACAAAAUUUGAAGUGAAAAGGUGCAAGAUUUGAGUGAAAUGAGAUGAAGUUUUUGGUUCCUCUUCUCCUCCAAGUUUCGGCCAACAAGAGAGGGUGAGAGAGAGUGAAAAUCUGAUAUGGGAAGCUUCUCAUGGAAGCUUGGUGGUUGGUGGCCUUUUUGGCACAACAGUCAACUCUUACUAGUGCGCGUAUGCGCGCGUUUCGUGCCCGAUUCCUCUCGGGUUUGUUUCACUUGUGCACUAAACCUCUAAUGCACUUCCUUUAACACUAUUAUUAUCCACUCUUAUUAGUCUAAAAUAAAUUUCUAAAGUCCUUCAAUUAGUCGCACGCGUGAAAACGCGAACUUCCGACUCGAGCGCGAUAAAGCGUAAUUUCUAAGAAAUUCUUGUAACAAUGAUAAAACUAACCAAUACUAGGGUAAUUAAUCAUAAAAAAAUACCUAUUUUAAGACUAAUGCAUGAGUCCUCAAAUCUCCAAGGUCAUUGUACUCUCAAAUCAAAUAUUGCCUCCAAACGCGCAUUCGCUAUUUCUUACUGAACGAGCUUCCGAAAAUUAAAUUUAUUAACGGGACAUUUUAAAAAUAUAUGCAAGUCACAGUUCCAUGUAAAUGGUUUUAAAAUGGUUGAAAUAAAUUAUUUGGGGAAAACAGGUAAAUAAAUAAUUAAAUAAGCCAGUAAUAUACGAUAAAAUAAGAAAAUUUUCGGGUCCUCACAGAUGAACUUGGUGGUUUUUCUUCUCUCUUUUCCUCUCCAAACUCACGGCCAAGAAGAUGAAGAAAUGAAGGAAAAUUGUGGCUAGAGGAAAGAUAGGAAGGAAGAAAGUUUCAUAGUCAAAGGUUGCAUGGAUGACCAACACUUGGCAAGCCACCAAUUUUCCUCUUGUUUUUGUUUCUUUUCCUCUUGUUUUUGGUCAAGAAUUUCGGCUAGGCUUAGGGUUAAAUUAGGGUAUGAUAAAUGAUAGGAAAAUAAGAAGAUUAGACUAAGAAAGUAUUGGUCAAGUGGUGUACUCAACUGAUAACAAACGGUGCGAGUCGGUUCAAGCCUAUUUCUUUAACUCGUUUGUACUUUUGUUUUAACUUAUUAUUCACUAAUAUACUCUUAGCACUUUUAAUCACAUACUUACUCCUACUUAAUACCUGCUUUUAUCCACCGAAUUUAGUACACACACCUCACCAAUUGAUCACACUACCACAAAGCACCAAUACCCUAGCAUACACUAACUAUAAAAGUAAAAGUAAAACUCUCAACUCGAUUAUUUAUUAUACCUACUAAGGCAAGUAAUAUAGUAUUAAGGAAAUUAUAAAUUAACUUAUUCAAGAAUAAAGGAAAUUAUAAGAAAAUAUAAACGAAUUUGCAAGUCCUCACACCACCUACCAUCUUCCUUCCAAAAGCCGAGAGAAAGAGAGAAUUUGGAAGAAAUGUGGCUGGUUUCUUCACUUACCAGCUUCGACUGAGAUAGGGAAAGUGACGCAAGGAAGGAAAAGGGAGAGCUUGGAGGAAACGGAGCAAGGAAAGUGGGCAGCUUGCAACUGUCGAACCCAUAAUUGCCCUAAUAUUUUCCUAGGGUUUUCCCCCUUAAAUUUCAUGUUUUCUGCAUUUUCUGGCCUAGGAAUAUUUUAUUGGUGGAUUUUAUGAGUAAUUAUAGUUUUUAGAUGAUUUUUCUAGCAUUGGGUAGUUUUUGAAAAAUUACGGAUAGAUUAUGGAUGUGGGCCCCACUAGUGCGGAAAGUUCGGAAAAAUUCGGCCAAUAAGGUUAAGUUUCGGAUACUGUGAAAAAUUUAUCGGGUGUUAAGAGAUAAGUAGAGUGUGUGAUAUGAUUGAUGUGAGAGAGAAAAAAAAGUGAUAAGAGUGCAUUAAUGGAGUGACAUGUGUCACACAACCAUUGGUUGGACUUUGUUGGCAACUAUUCACACUUUUGACUUUUGACCAAAUUGAGUAAAUAUCUUGAAAAAUUGCUCAAAAAUCACCAUUUUCUUCUCCUUCAUGGCCGAUUCUUCCUUGAGCAAAGAAGAAAGAAAUUCUUCAACUUUCUAGUUUCCAUUUCACUCAAUCUUCCAAAACCAACCACAUAACUUAGAUUCUACUCCAUAAAAACAUUUCUUCUAGUGCUAGUAAGUAGUUGGGGAAGUUUGUUUGAAGAGCUAAGGUGUCCAACAUCUCCCUCUCUCUUGAUUUCUUGGUAAGUGAUGCUUGAACACCCUCCUAUAUCUAAUGAUGUUGAAUUUAUGCCUAAUGGUGGCUUAAGUGAGGGAUUAUGUGUGUUAUUUCUUGAUUUGAAGUGAAUUGGUUGAGUUUUUUUAUUUUUUGAGGAAUUUUCUGGUUUCAUAUGUUCUUGAUGGUGUGGUUGUUUUUGAUGGUUGGUAAUAAGGGGCUUUGACUCUAGUAGAUGUGACUUGUUGAUAAAUGCAAUCAAUUUUGGAUUUGGAUUGAAUUGAGAAAUGUUAGGGUUUCAAAAACCCCUAAUUCUGUUCGGUUUUGGAUCAUAGGGUUAGAGGCCGAAUUGGACUUUACUCAAAACAUGAAAGUUGUAGGUAUUGAUGAGUUUGAAGUGCCUGCAAAACUUCAGGGCAUUUAGAGUAGUGUAGAGUGAGUUAUGCCAUUUUUUCUGUUGCUGUUCUGGGUGAACAGAAUGUGCGAACUGCACUUGUAACUGGCCAUUUUGACUGGAAUCGUUUUGGAUUUUGAUGAUGGUGUCUUCUGAUGAAAUGUAUAUUGAUGUCUUAGAUAUUAUAUGCCUUUGGAAUCAAUGCAUUUGGACCUGUGUAGGCUGAGAUAGACGAAUUACAGUUUUGUGUGAUUUGGGAACCUGCAAUUACGGUUCUGGCUUGGUUUUCUGCAUUUUUGACCUAGUUGUGCUAGGAUGUGGACUGAGUGGCCUUCUACAUUGUUGUAGCCCUGGAUCUUAGCUUCGCGAUGGUGGGUCUUACGCCCUCAUCCGAUAAGCGUAGCGCAUUUUGUGCCAUUACCGCAUUAGGAGGCCAAAACUGUUUUUGUUGUUGGGACAAAUGAGUUCCAUUUGCUGAAAUUUCUGGUUUGCUAUUAUGCUUGUUUAUGCAUAUGAAACCCUAUUGGGGUUGUUAUUGACUUGGCUUUGUGACUCGUUAUCGAGUCUUAUGGUAAUUGUUUACAUGUUCUAGGGCGUGACGUUAGUGCACGACGUACUAGGGACGACGGUGCAUGAAACCUCACUUGCUUAAUUGGUGAGUAUACUACUCACUUGGAUUUAUAAUGUGGCUUUGCUAUAUGUGAUUGUGAUGCCUUGAAGGCUUGUUUGGCUAUUGGAAAUGAUUAGGGUGAGGGUGUACUUGACCGCCCUCAUUCCUUUUAUUCUUGUGACCGAUUGUUUACCGUUUCACUGUAUUACUGUACUGCUAUAUGAAUUCUUGGAUUUCAUUCAUGGCAAUUGUUUGGGUGUUGGUUGGACGAGUAUCCAACGGCCCUACUGUACUGAGCUCGACCCCGUUGGCAUUCACUUGAAUCGAGCCAGCGAGGGCUUGGUCGUGAAAAUUGACUAGCCACGGGGACUGAAAUGGGGAAUCUUGUGGUAAUGAGACCCUUGGUUCCGGUGUACUCGAGUAUCACCUAAAGUUACUGCUUCGAGUGCGGGCCCGGUUGGGGUAUGAUGGGUGGAAGGAAUGGAAGUGAAGUGAAAUCUACGGUUUGGUACUUUUAACAUUGACGGAGGGUCAAUGAGGUUGGAUCAAGAAUGUAAACGUGGAAAGGGGCUCUUGAGAGCCGUCCGUAUCCUUUUACCGAUUUGUUUUGCUUCUUAUUUGAAUACUUGACAUGAACGAUUAUGCUUAAGUGAUUUUGGUGGAUUGUGUGAUAGUUGCUCGCUGAGCUUUAGCUCACUCCGUUCCAUUUGUUUUCCUUACAGGAAAAUGAUCACUUUUGGAAGCUCAUACUUGUUGGUUGCCAAAUUGAGCCAUGUAUAUGUUGAUUUUGAAUAGCUCUUUGCAUGAAACCCUAAUGUGUAUUGGGUUCAUCUUUUGAAUGGCAAACCGAAUAUGUGUAUCCCUUAUGUAUAGUUUUUGACAUGCUAAUGUGGUUGUAAAUGUUGAAUUUUAGUGUAUGGAUGUUUGGUUGAACUUCGGAGCGAAUCGGUUUGCGAACGGCAAAAGAAAAAUUUUUUACGGAAAGGCACUGGACCGAAUCCGGCCAGGAAUCCGGCCAGAAACUGGCCGGAUUGUCGGCCGGAUUGCCUUGGAUUUUUUUUGAAUCCGUGAACUUGCUCACUGGACAGUAUCCGGCCAAGAAUUCGGCCGCUAAUCCGGCCAGAUUCCGGCCGGAUUCUGCUGUCCAGGCUACUAUUCGACGUUUUCAUUUUUUUUAUAUUUUGUUAUUUUGUUCCUUGUGGCUUGUCCGAGCGCGCUUUUACUUUCCCGAAACGUUCUAGAUCGCGUGUAACUGCCCGUAGUCCUGGCGAGAGCUGGGCAGGCAGUCCGCUAACCCCUUUGGUUCGCCUUAGGGGAAGGUGGGGCUGUCACAGAAGGUACAUGUUGUUUGUUUCAGUUUAGGUGGGACAGAGUAUAUACUGAAUGUUUAGUGUUUUAAGUAAGUAAAAGAUGGAACUUUAUUGAAGAUUAUGGAGUAAUGUUGCGGGAAUUCUCAGCUUUGACCGAGAGAAAGAAAUGAAGAAUUUUUCCAACUUCCUCUAUGAAUUUUGGUUUCUAGUUGCAAUUUUUGGUUGAAUUUUCUGGAAAAUGCAUGAAUAUUACUUCACUCUAUGUUAUAAUCAUGUUGGCAGGUGAUUUAAGGUUGAAAGAAAGUGAGAAAGGUUGGACUUAUGAGCAUGGAAUUUGAGUAGUGAAAGUUGAACGGCUGCUGGAAAUUUCCAGUAUCAGAUGCGGCCGGGAGGGGCCGUCAUUCGUUGGAGCCCGUCUAACCGUGUCCGACGGUGCCCGUGUAAGGAGAAGUAUGCCUACCCGAACGCCCUCGUGUUUGCGCUAGAUAAGGAGCGUAAGGUGUUGGCUAGAGAGAAUGCUCGACUUGAGGUCGAUGCGAUCCAGGAUAGAGCGACGAGCGAUAAGCAAGCUGCGCGUAUUAAGGAGCUAGAAUACGAUGUGCUUGAGGCCGAGGAUCGAGUUGACGACCUUUGCGCGCAACUGAGGGAGGCACGAGAGUGCGAGCUUAAGCGAGCUCGUAAGGUCAGGGGUCGCGCUGAGGGGAUCCUUAAUCUGUGUGACGAUGGCCUGGAAGAGUGUAACGACGAGGCUUCGUGUGCGGAGGCCGACCCUGGGGAGGAGUCUACCCCGUCGCCUGGGUCCCAGACCCCGGCAACUGACUAGGCCUUGACUUUUAGGCUUCUUUUGGGAUAGUUGGUGGUUGUUGGUAUGUACAUAGGGAUAGGAAUAGAGCCUUAGCUAAUCAUUUUGGGUCGUUAGAUUAGCUACGUGUAAAUUUCUUUUGAGAAGGCCAUUCCUCGGGGGAAUCGUCUAUGUAUUCUGACUUGCCUGUACAUGACUCGACUGAUUGUAUAUAUGUGUGUGGUUUGAUCUUGCGUGGCUUAUGUAUAUGUUCUUGAUCAUGUUUGCAAUGUAUCAAUAUGUGUUUUGUGAAAGUUUUGUGUAUUACUUACUUGCCUUAUUACUACUUUGGUUUAGUACUCUUGCCUAGACCAAGUAAAUCGUAUGGAAGGUACUCGGAGUGGUCGGGGACGUGGGGGCGGUGCUAGACAACCCACACCGGUUAGGGGUGCGGGGGAAACCUCGGCUGGACCUGAUCCUGAACCCCAAGCCGACCCUAAUGUGCAGAUAGCUGCUGCUAUGCAGCAAAUGACAAACCUGCUAGCACAAGUAGUGCAGCAGCAAGCCCAGAACCCAAACCCUAACCCUGGAAACCCCGGAAACCCUGGCCACCAUGUCGAGAGCGAGGAUAGAGCUCUCGAACGUUUCCAAAAGUUCGCUCCGCCAAAGUUUGUUGGGGGACCCGACCCGGACGUUGCUGAGAGGUGGAUCGAAAAGAUGGUUGACAUAUUUGCAGCCCUACACUACCCUGAUGAACGGCAAGUGACGUUUGCCGUGUUCCAACUUGAGGGGGCGGCCCGUUCCUGGUGGAACGUGAUUCGCCAGAAAUGGGAUCGGGAGCAGACACCCAGGACUUGGGUGAACUUUAUUAGAGAGUUCAAUGCAAAGUUCUUCCCUCCUCUAGUCCAGGAGAGGAAGGAGGACGAGUUUAUAAGGCUUCGCCAAGGGACUCAGACGGUGGCAGAAUAUGAAAGUCAAUUCACCCGUCUGUCCAAGUUUGCGCCUGAAUUAAUCAUGACUGAGCAACGACGGAUUAGGCGCUUUAUUCAGGGUCUAAAUGUUGAGAUUCAGAAAGAUCUCGCGGUGGCUCAAAUCACUGCGUUUAGCGAGGUUGUAGAAAAGGCCCAACGUGUUGAAAGUGCACGGUUACAGGUCCGGAACUUCCAGGCAAAGAAGCGUGGCUUUCCUGGGAGUAGUUCUGGACAGGGUGAGAAGAGCACUCCUGCUAAAUUUGGACGAGGAGCGGGAGGUGGUCGACAAUCUGGAGCAGGUAGAGGGACUCCAUUCAGGGGUGGCCAAGCUGGGCGUGGACCAAGGGGAAACACUCAGAGUGGAUCGGCUUCCGCACCUCGCGGGCCCUGCGGGCAUUGCGGGAAGCCAAACCACACCGAAGAUAACUGCUGGAGGAAACAGGGUAAAUGUCUGCGAUGUGAAAGCGCGGACCACCAAUUGGCUACUUGCCCGGUCCUGAAACAAGAUGGAAAAGGAAGCCAACCCCCGCCGAGGACCAAUACUGGACCAGCAAAGGGAGAUGGGUCCAAACCGAAAGUUCCAGCUAGGGUUUACUCCUUAGAACCCCAUCAGGUCCCAGAGUCUUCGGAGGUCGUAGAAGGUACGAUCCCUAUUUUUCACCGCUUUGCCAAAGUUUUAAUUGAUCCUGGUGCCACUCAUUCGUUUGUUAACCCUGAUUUCAUGUGUGGCAUCGAUAUAAAACCUGCUAGUUUACCUUAUGACCUAGAAGUUAGUACACCUACGGGGAAUCAACGUUUGGUGACUAGUAUGGUUUAUAGGGAUUGCGAUGUUUGGGUAGGUGAAAGGAGAUUUUUAGGAGACCUGAUCAGCUUGUCCAUUAAGGGGUACGAUGUGAUUUUGGGAAUGGACUGGCUAGCCAAAUAUAACGCCCAACUGGAUUGUAAAACGAAAAUAGUAGAAUUUCGCAUUCCUGGCGAGGCAACCUUAAUGUUAGAUAUAAGGGGUAGGUUAGCCUCAUCUGCUCUAAUUUCGGGCAUUCGAGCUAGGAAACUGAUAAGUAGAGGGGCGCAAGGAUUUUUGGCCUUUUUAAUUAAUACCCCUACGGAUAAGUUAAACGGGGAAGAUGUGGCCGUAGUGAGAGAAUUUCCGGAUGUAUUUCCUGAUGAGUUAGUAGCUUUACCUCCGGAAAGAGAGAUAGAAUUCCGAAUAGAUCUUUUACCUGGAACUGCACCUAUCUCGAAAACCCCUUACCGAAUGGCGCCUGCUGAACUUAAUGAGCUUAAGUUGCAAUUACAAGAUCUUUUGGAGCGGGGAUUCAUUCAUGAGAGUGGGUCUCCUUGGGGAGCUCCUGUCCUGUUUGUGAAGAAAAAGGACGGAACCUUGAGGAUGUGUAUUGAUUACCGAGGCCUGAACAAUGUUACGAUCAAGAAUAAAUAUCCACCGCCUCACAUCGACGAGUUGUUCGACCAGCUGCAAGGUGCAGUGGUCUUCUCCAAGUUGGAUCUUCGCCAAGGGUAUUAUCAGUUGUUGAUUAGAAAGGAGGAUAUACCGAAAACUGCUUUCAACUCGAGAUAUGGGCAUUUCGAGUUUUCCGUUAUGCCCUUUGGACUGACCAAUGCUCCUGCCGCUUUUAUGGAUCUAAUGCAUAGGGUUUUCAAACCCUAUCUAGACCGAUUUGUCGUUGUGUUUAUUGAUGACAUUUUGGUCUACUCUAAGACACGCGAGGAGCAUGAGGAGCAUUUGAGAGUGGUGUUGCAAACGUUAAGGGAACAUCAGUUGUACGCCAAGUUUAGUAAAUGUGAGUUUUGGUUGGAGAAGGUAGCAUUCCUAGGGCACGUAAUCUCCCACGAAGGUAUUUCGGUGGACCCGGCAAAGGUAGAGGCCGUGACAAAUUGGAAGAGAUCAGAAACUCCCACGGAAAUUCGUAGCUUUCUAGGGCUAGCUGGGUACUACCGCCGUUUCAUUAAAGAUUUCUCCAAACUAGCAGGACCUUUAACUGACCUGACAAAGAAGCAUGGUCGGUUCGUUUGGAACGCCCGAUGCGAAACAAGUUUUCAGGAAUUAAAGAGAAGAUUGACCACGACUCCAGUACUGGUCUUGCCAAAUGGAGUGGACAGGUUCGCGGUAUAUGCAGAUGCGUCGCGAGAAGGCCUGGGGUGCGUUUUGAUGCAGAAGCGUAAUGUGAUUUCUUUUGCCUCAAGAAAGUUGAAGCUUCACGAGCAGAAUUACCCGACCCACGAUCUGGAAUUAGCCGCAGUUGUGUUUGCUCUGAAAAAGUGGAGGCAUUACCUAUACGGGGUGACCUUUGAAGUGUACUCGGAUCAUAAGAGUCUUAGGUACCUUUUCUCCCAGAAGGAACUGAACAUGAGGCAACGACGAUGGAUGGAAUUUUUGGAAGAUUACGACUGCACCAUCAACUACCAUCCGGGAAAGGCAAAUGUGGUAGCCGAUGCCUUGAGUCGUAAGGUGCAAGUAGCAGGGUUGAUGAUUAAAGAGUGGGACUUAUUAGAAUCCGUCUGUGAGUGGAGACCCUGUCUUGGGAGCCAUAAGGUGAUAUUUAGCAAUGUUAGGGUGACCUCCACUCUACUGGAACGCAUUAAAGAGGCGCAAAACGAAGAUUUGAUGGUGAAGAAUUGCAGAGAGAAAGUGGAGAAGGGAGAAACAACGGACUUCAAUUUUAGUCCUGAGGGUAUAUUGAAAUAUCGAAACCGAAUUGUGGUACCGAAGGUUGAAUCGUUGAAGACUGAAAUUCUGGAAGAAGCUCAUCGGUCCAAGUAUACAAUCCAUCCGGGCAGCAGCAAGAUGUAUCAAGACCUAAAAGGAACCCAUUGGUGGGACAAUAUGAAGAAGAAAAUCGCUCAAUACGUACAGAAAUGUCUCAUUUGCCAGCAAGUGAAGGCAGAGCAUCAAAAACCAUCGGGUCUGUUACAACCCUUGGAGAUACCCGAGUGGAAGUGGGAAAACAUCACCAUGGACUUCGUUUCAGGAUUACCGAGGACGCAAAGAGGACACGAUGCCGUUUGGGUGAUCGUUGAUCGAUUAACCAAGUCGGCCCAUUUCUUGCCGGUGAAUAUGAAGUAUUCAAUGGACAAAUUGGCCCGACUGUAUAUGGACGAGAUAGUAAGACUACACGGUGUUCCUGUGAGCAUCGUCUCCAAUCGGGAUCCACGGUUCGUAUCUCGGUUUUGACAGAAGUUUCAAGAAAACCUGGGGACUAAACUCAAUUUGAGCACGACCUAUCACCCUCAGACGGAUGGACAGUCAGAACAGACGAUUCAAACUCUCGAAGACAUGCUACGAACUUGCAUUCUGGAUUUCGGAGGCAACUGGGGUCAACACAUGACCUUAGUAGAGUUUGCGUACAACAAUAGCUUCCAUUCGUCGAUCCAAAUGGCUCCGUACGAAGCUCUCUACGGACGCAAGUGCCGCUCGCCGAUUUACUGGGACGAAGUUGGCGAAAAGAAAGCACUAGACCCGGCAACUAUUCCAUGGAUGGAAGAGGCUCAAGAGAAGGUCAAGUUGAUACGACAACGACUUCAAACAGCUCAAAGUCGACAAAAGAGCUACGCGGAUAAUCGAAGAAAAGACUUGGAGUUUGAAGUUGGAGACCACGUAUUUCUCAAGAUUACACCCUUACGAAGUCUUACUGCGGGCAAAGGAAAGAAACUUCAACCACGGUACGUCGGCCCCUACAAGAUCCUGCAGAGAGUAGGAGCGGUCGCGUAUCGAUUGGAACUGCCCGCCAGUCUUUCUCGAAUCCACGAUGUAUUCCACGUCUCGAUGCUAAAGAAGUAUCAUCCCGACCCAUCCCAUGUCUUACAACCGGAGGAGAUUGAAGUAGGCGAAUCGCUUGCUUACGAAGAGAAACCUGUCCAAGUGCUUGACCAAAAAGUCAAAGAACUCAGAACCAAGCAGAUUCCGUUAGUAAAAGUGCUUUGGAGAAACCAUGGGGUAGAGGAAGCUACUUGGGAAGUGGAGGAAGAGAUGCGGAAGAGGUAUCCAAAUCUGUUUGAGAGUUAAGGUGAGAAAUUUCGAGGACGAAAUUCUUUUAAGGGGGAGAGAGUGUGAGAACCCAUAAUUGCCCUAAUAUUUUCCUAGGGUUUUCCCCCUUAAAUUUCAUGUUUUCUGCAUUUUCUGGCCUAGGAAUAUUUUAUUGGUGGAUUUUAUGAGUAAUUAUAGUUUUUAGAUGAUUUUUCUAGCAUUGGGUAGUUUUUGAAAAAUUACGGAUAGAUUAUGGAUGUGGGCCCCACUAGUGCGGAAAGUUCGGAAAAAUUCGGCCAAUAAGGUUAAGUUUCGGAUACUGUGAAAAAUUUAUCGGGUGUUAAGAGAUAAGUAGAGUGUGUGAUAUGAUUGAUGUGAGAGAGAAAAAAAAGUGAUAAGAGUGCAUUAAUGGAGUGACAUGUGUCACACAACCAUUGGUUGGACUUUGUUGGCAACUAUUCACACUUUUGACUUUUGACCAAAUUGAGUAAAUAUCUUGAAAAAUUGCUCAAAAAUCACCAUUUUCUUCUCCUUCAUGGCCGAUUCUUCCUUGAGCAAAGAAGAAAGAAAUUCUUCAACUUUCUAGUUUCCAUUUCACUCAAUCUUCCAAAACCAACCACAUAACUUAGAUUCUACUCCAUAAAAACAUUUCUUCUAGUGCUAGUAAGUAGUUGGGGAAGUUUGUUUGAAGAGCUAAGGUGUCCAACAUCUCCCUCUCUCUUGAUUUCUUGGUAAGUGAUGCUUGAACACCCUCCUAUAUCUAAUGAUGUUGAAUUUAUGCCUAAUGGUGGCUUAAGUGAGGGAUUAUGUGUGUUAUUUCUUGAUUUGAAGUGAAUUGGUUGAGUUUUUUUAUUUUUUGAGGAAUUUUCUGGUUUCAUAUGUUCUUGAUGGUGUGGUUGUUUUUGAUGGUUGGUAAUAAGGGGCUUUGACUCUAGUAGAUGUGACUUGUUGAUAAAUGCAAUCAAUUUUGGAUUUGGAUUGAAUUGAGAAAUGUUAGGGUUUCAAAACCCCUAAUUCUGUUCGGUUUUGGAUCAUAGGGUUAGAGGCCGAAUUGGACUUUACUCAAAACAUGAAAGUUGUAGGUAUUGAUGAGUUUGAAGUGCCUGCAAAACUUCAGGGCAUUUAGAGUAGUGUAGAGUGAGUUAUGCCAUUUUUUCUGUUGCUGUUCUGGGUGAACAGAAUGUGCGAACUGCACUUGUAAUUGGCCAUUUUGACUGGAAUCGUUUUGGAUUUUGAUGAUGGUGUCUUCUGAUGAAAUGUAUAUUGAUGUCUUAGAUAUUAUAUGCCUUUGGAAUCAAUGCAUUUGGACCUGUGUAGGCUGAGAUAGACGAAUUACAGUUUUGUGUGAUUUGGGAACCUGCAAUUACGGUUCUGGCUUGGUUUUCUGCAUUUUUGACCUAGUUGUGCUAGGAUGUGGACUGAGUGGCCUUCUACAUUGUUGUAGCCCUGGAUCUUAGCUUCGCGAUGGUGGGUCUUACGCCCUCAUCCGAUAAGCGUAGCGCAUUUUGUGCCAUUACCGCAUUAGGAGGCCAAAACUGUUUUUGUUGUUGGGACAAAUGAGUUCCAUUUGCUGAAAUUUCUGGUUUGCUAUUAUGCUUGUUUAUGCAUAUGAAACCCUAUUGGGGUUGUUAUUGACUUGGCUUUGUGACUCGUUAUCGAGUCUUAUGGUAAUUGUUUACAUGUUCUAGGGCGUGACGUUAGUGCACGACGUACUAGGGACGACGGUGCAUGAAACCUCACUUGCUUAAUUGGUGAGUAUACUACUCACUUGGAUUUAUAAUGUGGCUUUGCUAUAUGUGAUUGUGAUGCCUUGAAGGCUUGUUUGGCUAUUGGAAAUGAUUAGGGUGAGGGUGUACUUGACCGCCCUCAUUCCUUUUAUUCUUGUGACCGAUUGUUUACCGUUUCACUGUAUUACUGUACUGCUAUAUGAAUUCUUGGAUUUCAUUCAUGGCAAUUGUUUGGGUGUUGGUUGGACGAGUAUCCAACGGCCCUACUGUACUGAGCUCGACCCCGUUGGCAUUCACUUGAAUCGAGCCAGCGAGGGCUUGGUCGUGAAAAUUGACUAGCCACGGGGACUGAAAUGGGGAAUCUUGUGGUAAUGAGACCCUUGGUUCCGGUGUACUCGAGUAUCACCUAAAGUUACUGCUUCGAGUGCGGGCCCGGUUGGGGUAUGAUGGGUGGAAGGAAUGGAAGUGAAGUGAAAUCUACGGUUUGGUACUUUUAACAUUGACGGAGGGUCAAUGAGGUUGGAUCAAGAAUGUAAACGUGGAAAGGGGCUCUUGAGAGCCGUCCGUAUCCUUUUACCGAUUUGUUUUGCUUCUUAUUUGAAUACUUGACAUGAACGAUUAUGCUUAAGUGAUUUUGGUGGAUUGUGUGAUAGUUGCUCGCUGAGCUUUAGCUCACUCCGUUCCAUUUGUUUUCCUUACAGGAAAAUGAUCACUUUUGGAAGCUCAUACUUGUUGGUUGCCAAAUUGAGCCAUGUAUAUGUUGAUUUUGAAUAGCUCUUUGCAUGAAACCCUAAUGUGUAUUGGGUUCAUCUUUUGAAUGGCAAACCGAAUAUGUGUAUCCCUUAUGUAUAGUUUUUGACAUGCUAAUGUGGUUGUAAAUGUUGAAUUUUAGUGUAUGGAUGUUUGGUUGAACUUCGGAGCGAAUCGGUUUGCGAACGGCAAAAGAAAAAUUUUUUACGGAAAGGCACUGGACCGAAUCCGGCCAGGAAUCCGGCCAGAAACUGGCCGGAUUGUCGGCCGGAUUGCCUUGGAUUUUUUUUGAAUCCGUGAACUUGCUCACUGGACAGUAUCCGGCCAAGAAUUCGGCCGCUAAUCCGGCCAGAUUCCGGCCGGAUUCUGCUGUCCAGGCUACUAUUCGACGUUUUCAUUUUUUUUAUAUUUUGUUAUUUUGUUCCUUGUGGCUUGUCCGAGCGCGCUUUUACUUUCCCGAAACGUUCUAGAUCGCGUGUAACUGCCCGUAGUCCUGGCGAGAGCUGGGCAGGCAGUCCGCUAACCCCUUUGGUUCGCCUUAGGGGAAGGUGGGGCUGUCACAGAAGGUACAUGUUGUUUGUUUCAGUUUAGGUGGGACAGAGUAUAUACUGAAUGUUUAGUGUUUUAAGUAAGUAAAAGAUGGAACUUUAUUGAAGAUUAUGGAGUAAUGUUGCGGGAAUUCUCAGCUUUGACCGAGAGAAAGAAAUGAAGAAUUUUUCCAACUUCCUCUAUGAAUUUUGGUUUCUAGUUGCAAUUUUUGGUUGAAUUUUCUGGAAAAUGCAUGAAUAUUACUUCACUCUAUGUUAUAAUCAUGUUGGCAGGUGAUUUAAGGUUGAAAGAAAGUGAGAAAGGUUGGACUUAUGAGCAUGGAAUUUGAGUAGUGAAAGUUGAACGGCUGCUGGAAAUUUCCAGCCUAGCCGAUAGUGAAUCCUUUGAUUUUGAGUGGGUAUUUUGGUGAAAUCUAGCUAAAAAGCAUGUUAUAUGCUCAGUAUAAUCCUUAACUAGUGCUGCCUGCUUGUUUUACUUGGUGAAAAUUCAAUUAAUGGGGUUGAAAUGGCUAUCCAAGGACUACAUGACUAUGAGACAAAUGUUAGUUUGUUCGAUGGAAGUCUAGCUGGAAUUCUUGUUUUAGACUGAAAUUGCUUGAAAAGUUUUAGCCCUUCUUUUGGUGUUUAUGUGAUUGCAUAUUGGAUUAGGUUGAUAACUUGGUAGAUUGAAUAAAAUCUUGGAAGAUAUAUGGCUGGAAUUUCAGUUUUGAAACCCAAAUAACUGGUUGUGUUCUCCCAAGCUUCACUUCCAUCUUGUGAACUGAAGUUGAUGCAAAUAUGGUUAAAAUUACCCUAUGGUACUCUAUUUUGCCCUGUAUAUUAUGCCUAGAUUGAUUUGAAAAGAAAUAUCGAGUCUUUGGAAAAGAAACUUGGGGCUAGUUGAGCUUGCAAGACUGUUUGGACAGACUGGGGGGAGUUGAGGAGUUCAAAUUGUUUUCUCAAAAUUUUAGGCUAUUUUAAUCAGACUUUGAACCAAGAACAACCUGUAAAGAAUAACGAUAAAAUGUAGAUUGGAUUUUGGGAGAUUUGAACAAAGGAAAUAAUGAACUUUAGAUGGAAAACAUGAACACUCUAUGCUGGAAAUUCUGUUUUGAGUAAUCCUAAAACUAGUUCUUGCAUUUUAUGUUAUAACUUUCAACACUAUGAUAGAAAUUUAACCAAAUCUGACCAAAUACCCCUUUUACACUAUCUUAUAAGAAUUUUACUCGUAAAAUGAUCCUCAUGACUUAAAUUCCAGUCUAUAUAAUAAAAUGUAGGUCAUACUUACCACUUAACCACUAAAAUCCUUAAUUUCACCAAUUAAAAUACUCAAGCAUCACUUUUGGGAAUUUAACAAGUAGUCUAAUAAGUGACAAAUAUCUUAGGAGCCAAGGGUGAAUCAAAAGAGGGUCCGAGCACCGAAGAAUAAUUUCAAACUGCGUGGUGAGUGUUCUAAAGUGUUUGCACUUGUUUAUUUGAAGGAUUACUUUUUUUUUAUCAAACUCUUGGAAAUUUAUUUAAUCAAAAGGAAGGGUGUUACAAGUUGGAAUCAACACGUGAUGACCUAAAUCUACGAAAGGAGGGAAAAGCAAGUCUGCCCAAAUGAUAUGCUCCCCUGGCUAAGAACGGCAAGCCCGCGAAGGUUUCAUAGACAGAGACCCCUUGAUCGGUAUCGGCACAUGUAAGGAUCGAAGACAACCAAGUGAAGAGAUAAGCAAUGUAAAGAUCACAAAUGUAACAAUAAGUAAAUAAAAAGAAAAGAAUUGCAAACCAAUUAACUACCCAGCUCCUCCUGAUCUUGUUAAUUAAUUCAAACAAGCUUCGUCAAGUUGAUGAAUUACAAUCACUCUUGUGUACAAAAGAAGGUUCACCUCCUCUUUGCCCCGAACUCCACUCGGUCAAGUUAGGUGUGACACCCCGAAUAUUAGGAGGUUGGUUGUAAAGAAGAUAUUAAAGUGCAUUUCUUUGGGUUUGAUUUAAAACCUUAUUUUGUUUUAAAAGAUUAGAAACCCUACUAUUUUAAUCAAAAACCCUAGUUACUUGUGACUAACCAGUUUUCUUAAAUCUCUCAUAUUUUAAUUGAAACCCUAAUUUUAAUCCCUGGAAUUGUAAAAUCCCUCACGUUUUUCUUAAAAAUUUCCUUUUAUUUGGAAGUUAUUCAUUUAUUAAAGCCCUUCCACCCAGUCAUUCCACAUAAGUGCAAAUGAACCUAGAAAGUAGGGUUUCACAUUUCGGUUUCAAGAUUGGAGCAAAUUAGGGUUUUCGCGAUUUUUCGUAGGAUGAUUUUUCGGUACGGAGCAAGGAUCAAAUUUGGUGAUUAAAAGUGACUUUUAGGUGAGAAAUAAUAUGUGAUUAGGAGCAAUGAUAUAAGGUUAGUGAAUAGGAAGUAAAAACCCUAGUACGUGUGUUUUAAAGAAAAACGGCGCGAACCGACGGGUACCGUGUGAGAACCCGUAAAUUCCCUAAUAAUUUUCCUGGGAUUUUUCCCCUUUAAAGACAUGUUUUCUGCAUUUUCUGGCUUAGGAAAAAUUUUCCUGGUGAAUUUUAUGAGUAAUUAUGUUUUUAGAUGAUUUUUCUAGUAUUGGAGAGUUUUUGAAAAAUUAAGAAUAUAUAUCGGACGUGGGACCCACUAGUGCGAAAAGUUCGGAAAAAUUCGGCCAAUUAUGUUAGGUUUCGGCUACUGGUUGAAAUUUAUCGGGUGUUAAGAGAUAAGUAGAGAAUGUGAAGUGAUUGAUGUGAGAGGAAAAAAGAAGGAUAGGAAUGCAUUAAUGAAGUGACACUUGUCAUGUUGGGAUUGGUUGUACCUUUAUGACUUACUAUUCAUUUUUUUUUGACCUUUUCACCAUGUGGUUAAAUAUCUCCAAAAAUCACAAAAAAAUUCACUCUUGUCUUCAUCUUCUUGGCCGGCCACCUUGAGCUUAGGAAGGAAGAAACUCUUCACAAUCUUGGCAUCCAUCUAGUGCAAAUCAUCCAAAGCAAUCACCUAAACUUGUUUCUACUCCAUAAAACCCUUUCACUAGGUGUUAGUGGUUUGUUUGGUGAAGUGUUUGGAGGAGCUAAGGUGUCCUACAACUCUCCCUCUCUUGUUUACUAGGUGAGUGGUGAUUGAACUUUCUCCUACACUUAAUGAAGCUUAACUUGUGCCUAGUGGUAGCUAAAGGGAUGAAUUUUGUGGUUUAUUUCUUGCUUUUGGAUGAAUUGAUGAAGUUUUCAAUUUAUUGGUGAUUUUUCUGGUUUAAUGUGAUCAUGAUGUUGUGGCUAUCUAUGAUGGUUGGAAAUGAUGGUUAAUGACUCUAGUAGGUGUACAUGAUUGGUAUUUGCAACCAAUUUCUGGUUUGGAAGAAAUUUCAGAAAACUAGGGUUCUUGAGGGGGGCAUUCUGUCCGAAAUUUUAGGUCCUAUAUAGAGGCCGAAUUGGCCAUUGCUUAAAACAUAAAAGUUGUAGGUAUUGAUGUGUGUGAGGUGCCUGUAAAAUUUCAGGUCAAUCGGAGUUCUGUGGAGUGAGAAAAGUCGAAAUUACUAUUGCUGUUCUGGGUUCAUCAGGAUGUAAGAACUGCGUCUGUAAUUGGUGGUUUUGGCUGGAAUUGCUUUGGAUUUGGUUGUUGAGGUCUUCUGAUGAAAUGUAGCUUGAUGUCUUAGCUACCGCAUGCCUUUGGAAUCAAUGAAUUUGGACUUGUAUAGACUGAGUUGGACUAAUUACAGCAUAGUGUAAUUUGUAAACCUGCAAUUAAGGUUCUGGUUUGGUAUUUUGCAUAUUUGACCUAGUUUUGCUAGGAAUUGGACUGAGUGACCUUCUACAUUGUUGUAGCCCUGUUUCUUAGCUUCGAAAUGGUGGGUCUUUCACCCUCAUCCGAUAAUCGUAGUGAAAUCGGUGCCAUUACCGCAAAAUGAGGACAAAACUGUUUUUUUUUCAGGGCCAAAGUUAAUUGCAUUUCCGGAUUUUCUGGUUGCCUAUGAUGCUUGUAUAUGUUUAUAAAACCUCUUUAUGACUCGUUAUCGAGUCUCAUUGUACUUGUUUGCGUGUUCUAGGGCAUGACGGUGGUUCACGAAAUACUUUUGACGGACGUGCAUGAAACAACACUUACUUGAUUGGUGAGUAUACUACUCACUUACUUGUUAUAAUGUGGCUUUGUGCUAUGUGUAGUGAUGCCUUGAAGGCUUACUUGGAUAUUGAAAUUGAUUAAGGUGAGGGUGUACUUGACCGCCCUCACCUCUUUUGAUAUUGUCACUGAUUGGCUACCGUUUUACUGCAUUACUGAACUUGAUAUAUUGGUUGGUGAAUUCCAUUUUAUGGAAACUGAAUUGGUGUAGUUUGGACGAUUGUCCGACUGCUUUACUGUAUUACUGAGCUCAAUCCCGUUCAGUAGUCAAUUGAAUCGAGCCGGCGAGGGCUUGGUCGUGACGAUUGAAUUGCCACGGGGACUGUACUGGGGAACCUUGUGGUAAUGAGACCCUUGGUUCCGGUAAACUCGAGUAUUACCAAAAACUACUGAAUUGGAGUGCGGGCCCGGUUGGGGUAUAUUGGGUGGAAGGAAUGGAAGUAUAGUGAGGUCUACGGUUUGGUACUCUUAACAUUGACGGAGGGUCAAUGAGAUUGGAUCAAGAUGGCAAGCGUGGAAUUGGGCUCUUGAGAGCCGACCGUAUCCUUUUACCGUUUUGCUUUACUGCUUAUUUGUGCACUUUAAAUAAAAGUUCAUCCUUAUGUGACUUUGGUUGCUUAUGUAGUAGUGUACCACUGGGCUUUAGCUCAUUCCGUGUUAUUUGUUUUCCUUACAGGAAUUGGAAACGGUUAUGACAAGUUGAGCUCAUGUAUAUGUAUUUUGCUUAGCUCCUUGAGGGUGAAAACCCUAAGUGUUUUGAUUCACCAAUGUUUGGUGUGUAAAUGGCUACUUGUUUAUGUAUGAACUAAAUAGCUAUUUUGGUAUGCCAUUUUGGCUUGACAAUGUUGGAUUUCAAUGUGUAUAUGUUAAAUUGAUGUUUGGAUGAACUUCGGAACGAUUCGGCUUGCAAACGGCAAAAGAAAAAAUUUUGACGGAAAGGCACUGGACCGAAUCCGGCCAGGAAUCCGGCCAGAAACUGGCCGGAUUGUCGGCCGGAUUGCUUGGGAAAUUUUUGAAUCCGUGAACUUGCUCACUGGACAGAAUCCGGCCGCUAAUCCGGCCAGAUUCCGGCCGGAUUCUGCUGUCCAGGCUUAGAUUCGACGUUUCAUUUUUUUUUUUUUUGUUCUUUUGUUACUUGUGGCUUGUCCGAGCGCGCUUUUACUUUCCCGAAACGUUCUAGAUCGCGUGUAACUGCCCGUAGUCCUGGCGAGAGCUGGGCAGGCAGUCCGCUAACCCCUCUGGUUCGCCUUAGGGGAAGGUGGGGCUGUCACAAAUUUUACAUUUAUACAUAAUAUCAAUACAUAUAUACAUAGCCAUAUUAAUUAUAUAAAUACAUUUCUACAUAAUAUUAAUAUAUAUUUAUAAUAUACUAAUUUAUACAUUUAUAAUAAUAUACACUUAUAAUUUAUAAUAUAUUUAUAAUAUUCAUUUAUAAUUUAUACAUUUAUAAUAAUAUACACUUAUACAUUUAUAAAUAUAUUUAUAUUAUGUAUUAUAUAUAAUAUAAUACAUUUAUAUAUUUUUAUAUGAAUAUAUAAAUAUAUUUAUUUAUAAAUAUCUAUAAAUGUAUUAUAAAUGCAUAAAUGUAUAUUUAUAUAAAAAUAUAAAAAUUAUAAUAUUCUAAAAAUACUCAAAAAUAUGUUUCAAAACUACCUCUAAAAAUAAUCCAAAAAAAUCUACAGUAAAAGUUUUUCAUAUAGUUUUUGAAAAAAACCCAAAAAGCAACUAAUCCAAACGGACUUGUUUUUCAGAUUCAAAAUGCUACAGUGGUGUUUUUGAAAAACAAACCCAAAAACAGCUAAUCCAAACGGAGCCUAAGAUUUGUGAUUUACAAUUGUAUUAACGAUGAGUAUUACAGAUAGAAUUAUAAGAACUUCAAUAGGUAUCACUCCUUUAGUAUGAAAAGAAAGUUACAAUUGGCAUCUGGGAUUGGUUCCACACGACCACAUGCCAAGUAACAGUUUCACAGAAGAACAUGAUACUUCGUUGGGACAACUAAUUUGAAAGUGGGAUAACUAAUAUUUAAAAUGCAACAGAUAGUCAUAACGAGAUGUACAGAUUGAGUUACAACCAGUUAGGUGUAUGUUACAAUUCAUUACAACUAAUGAAUUUGCAAUCGGCAGCUUUUCAUCUUCUUUAGUUAAAACUAGUGAUAUUAUAACUAGUGAUUUUACAACUAGUGAUAUUCCUCGAUGUUACAACUAGUGAUACUACAACUAGUUAACAUCCGAUGAACCUUUCCUUUUCUCUUGCUUGUGCAAUUGCCUUUGGCACAAACAAUAAUUCCUCCCUCCGACACAUUAAAUUUCUUUGGCACUUUAUUAAGUGUCUAAAGAGAACACAGAGAUGAUCAUUUUGAACUCCAAAAUAUUUGAUGUAGCGAGACCUUCUCGAGUAUCUCAUUAAAAUAGCGAGAUCUUUCCAAACAUCAAGCAAACCUGGAUGCUUUUAAUUGGCUCACAAGAGCUUGAUUUAAAACUGAACACUGUAUUGAUGAGACUGUAAUCCCUGUUAUAGGGAGGUUGAAGAUAAAAAAAAUGAAUCGAGUACACGGGUCCAUUGCCGCUUUAAUAUAAAGAGAAAUUGGAAGUGUGAAGUUGAAGGCGAAAAUGAAAGGGGGACGAACAAACUGGAGUCUGUGUAAGGGAUAUACGCCUACAAGGGAGGCCUUUUAUAGUCCGUAAUACCCUUUAAUAUGGUAAAAUAUCAGACCCCAAUGCAUAUAAGGCCAACUAGUACAUCACGGAAGUGGAAGCUAUAGAGUCACAUGCAGCGCCUGAACCAUGUCGGAUCAGAAUACUUAUGUACAAAGCGUGAAAUUUGUAGUGCCAAGAGUCUUGUUUCGUGUUACAUCGUGUUGCAAAUCAGUUACAAACUUUAGCUCAAUUUUUGGGGAGACAUGUAUGAACCCCAUACUGUGAUGUGUUCGUCGUCCAAAUUUAACAACAGGUACACUUAUGUACACAUGAAAACUGUUAAUUUAAACGUUCCAUUAACAUACAACAAGGUUAACGUAGUCCUUCUCAUCGGACCUGAUUCUAGUCUACACCAAUUCAAAAGCUACAAGGUACACAUAACAAUGUACAAAUGGGAGAAGAUUCAAUUUUCUCAAACUACAGUCACAUCUUACUUAAUGAAAUUCAAGCAUUACCAACAUCCUACCAUGCCCGUCUUGCUUCUUUCAGGUUUGAAAAGCUGUCCAAAAGCUUAGAGUUCUUUGCUGAGGUACACAAUCAAGUUGUGUACAGCACUCAAUACUUGCCAACAUUUUCCUAUCCAAUUUAAACAUAAUAGUAAUUUUUCAUGUCCAUGGUAACAACUAUUUUCCACAAUUCCAAAUGUAAAUUAGGAAAAAAAUAUAAGCAAAUUAUAAUACCUCUGUAAGCCAAACAGCUAAUCUUCUGCUCCAAUGCUCUAGGAAUGUCAUGAUGAAAAUACCACUAUCACAACUGUUCAUGUUGACUUCACAUUAGAGAGGUUGGAGUUUAUAUGUUGUAAUAAAAUAUUUGCGGCUGUAACAAUUAAACAUGUGAGAAGUAAAACUAUUUACACUUUAUUUGGUGAGUGAUGAGAGACAUCGGCAAGUGCAAACGAGAAACUGGAGAAGUCAAUAGCGAGGCCAAACUUUGUCGCCACGAUCAAUCCCAAGGCACGUUUCUAUAGCACCAAAGAUUAUGUCAAGCAGAUUAGAAACACUACAAUAUAGUCCUCUUCUCUUGUAAUGCAUUUAGGUGACAGUCCAACAUAUCAGUCGAUUAAGUACACUUAUGUCUUUACUCUUUGCUUGAUCGCUAUUAGGAUCUAGCAGGUACAUUUGUCUUUGUGAGACAUCAAAGCUGUAAACAAAUCAAUACUCCUCUGUGCAUACCGGAACAAGUAUCUGAAACGAAUGAGGUAUAAAAAAAAAUGAGAUAUACCGAAUGAGGUAUAUCGGAACAAGGUAUGUAACCUGAUUCUACAUUUUUGGAUAUUCAACAUGUGAGGACUUGCAAAUUCCUUAUAUUUUCUCAAAUUCCCUUUUUAUUUGAAAAUUAUUUGGUAAUUAUUAUUCAUAUCAUCCUACGGCUAAAUCACCCUAGAAAAGUGCCAAAAGUCAUAGGAAAUUAGGGUUUUCCUAUUCGUUUUCAAUUCAAGGUGAAAUAAGAAUUUUCGUGUAUCCGCAGUGUAAUUAUCCGGUACAGAGUACGGAUCAAAUUUGGUGCUUAAGAGUGACUUUUAAGUGAGAAAUAAUAUGUGAUUAGAAGCAAUGAUAAAAAUUUAGUGAAUAGAAAAAAAAAACCCUAGUUCGUGUGAUUUAAGGAAAAACGGCUCGAACCGACGCGUACCGUGUAUUACUAAUUUAACCACCACUUGAUCACCACUUUCUUGCCAUACAAGCUUAUCACUAAUUGAGCAAAAUAUCUUCCCUCUCAUGGUUAUCUCUUGACCAAAAUAUGUGGCCAAAAUGCAAGGAGAAGAAAGAGAAAUUUUUGUGGUUGUAAUUAAGCCAAGUGUUGGCCAAACUUGUGGCUUAGAUUAAUCCUAAUCUCUUGUCUUCUUAACUCCCUAAGAACAGGCUUUCUUCUUCAUUUUUUCUGCUCCAUAGCCGAGACAAGAGAAAGAGAGAAAGACAAAGAGAGUUCAUCUUGUUCUUCUCCAAAUCUUGAAAAGUUUCUUCUAUUCGCGCAAAUCUACUCCGAUUAAGUUGUUAUCUAGCACAAGGGCUACCUACCGGUGUAAUUUUCUUGAGGAACAAAGGCCUUAAACACUUGUUUCUAGUCUCCUUGGAAAGGUAUACAUGCUAGAACCUUGACUCUCCGAUUAAAUUCGCGAUUAGUUGCUAAAUAUGUCACAUAUGGUUGAAUUAUUGAUGUAUGUGGUGAAAUAGAGGCUUGGAUCAUGAUUUUCCAUUUUUAUUGGAAUUUUUACAGCUUUCCUAUAAUUUUUCUAGUGCUUAAAAAUUGGGGCUUUGAUGUUUAUAAUCUGAUAUGGGAAGUUAAGGUAGUGAAGCAAGCCAAAAAUAAGGAAAUUAGCAAUUGAUUGCAAGAAUCCCAGAUUUCUGGAAAAUUUCAGUUUAUUUUAUAGGUGCCUACAAAAUUUCAGCCCAAUCGGAGUAACGUAGACUGAGAAAAGUGCAAAAUACUCUCGCUGCCCUAAGAUGCAUUCCAGUGACCCGUGUUCGACAAUUCAUCCAGUUAAUCGUGUUUGUUCACUAUGAUCCGUACUGAUUUAGCCAAUGGCCAAAACAUGAAAGUUUUAGUGUUCCAUCUUAGAUUUUAAACGCCGCCAAGAACACCUUAAUCGGACCUUGGUAACCUGAGAUAUAGCCAUUUAAAGGUAGUGCGGUUAAUUAGCCGACUAGUUGGAUUUUGGUUCUGUAAAUUGGGAAUUUGACUAGAUUGCAUUAGAAACUGGACUAAGUGAUCUUCAUGAAAAUUGUAUUCCUGUGUCUUAGCUUCGAAACGGCAUAAGAUUCAUCCCAAUCCGAUAAGCGUAGCCUCAGAUGUGUUCUUUCCGUAACCACACGUCAAAUCUGUCUUUUGCUAGAUUGCAUUUCCGCACUUGUUAAUAGUUUAAUUCUUGUUCUUAUAUUGUUUUGAGCCUAUGGAACGGCUAUUGAUUUUAAUCUAUGAUAUGUAUGACUUUGGGAUUGGUUGAGGAAAAAUAAUGAAGCCAUAAAUGGCUAGAAAAUAGGUAAACACAAAGGGCGUGCUGCCCAAAUUUUCGCUUAAGAGCUAAGUUUCUAUUUAAACUUAUAUAUUUUCGAUUGGCAAAUCCUAUGACUGUUUUUCCAUCUUAAAACAUGAUCCUUCUUCAAUUGGAAACUCCAAAUAUUUACUUACUCUUACCCAAAUAAAGAGGAGUGGUUUAGGGUUUUUCUUGGGUAUUUUGUCCUCCCUUUUACAUGAAUUUCAUUAAGGCAUUUAGUCUAUAAUAUCUACUUGAAUAUGAGAUGAUUUUGAACCAUAUAAACGAUUCCGAAAACAGUAUUUCUUAGCCUAUCUAGUUGGAUUCCGACUUGUCGUUAGUUCAAGGAUUUCCAUUGGAAAAUUUAUAACUCUUUUGAAUUUGGUUUCUCGCUUGGAUUACGAAACCCUAAUUAUUUCCGACCACAGAUUCAAAUACCCUCUUUUCACUUAAGAAUCAUCUUUAUACGUCCUACUAGUAAUUAGUCGGACUUCCUUUACUUUUACCUAGUUGAUUUACUAGAUAACUUGUAAUAUGUUCUCUUGCUUAAUUUUAGGUUUCAUUGGUGAUUGAGGAAUUGGACGUUAUUUUGCUUGUAUAGGUGAGUGUUCCUUGUUUGUUAUAUUUCCUUGACUUAUUGGCUUGUUAUUAUUGAUUGAUAAUGUGUUAAGUUCUUUCAAUGAUUAGUCAAAACGAGUUUUCUAGGCGAGUGUGUACGUUAUCGCACUCAGCCUAAAUGAUUGUGAACUUUUCAAUGAUUGAACGAUUGAAAUGCUACUUGUGCAUGAAUGUAAGCCUUUUGGCUGAACUGGCCACUGCCCUUUGUUACCGAUCGACUCGAGCCAGAAGCGGACUCGGUCGGGCGAUAUGGUGACCUGGGUGAACGUUUGGUAUACUCGAGUAUUACCUUGUAGGUUGGUGGAGGUUGGUAGAGCCUGGCCAAUGCCCAGGAAGGGUUGAAUGCAAUGAACGAACGAACGAGGGUUUUAUUGAUAAAUGAACAAUGCAUUUUCAAACGAAUGAAGGAAUAAGGGGAAUGAAAGGAGAAUGAAUGAAUGAACGAAUGAAUGAAUGGCUCCUUGAGAGCACGUAUCCUUUUAAUGAAUGUGUUUAUCGCUUUGUAUUGUAAAUAUUUUCUUGAAUUAUGGGUUAAUGUAUUGGGUUUAUUACUUGUAUAUGUGUUCGGAACCUCACUGAGCUUUUAGCUCAUCCCUUUAGUUUUGUUUUCAUUAACAGGGGAAGGCGAGCAAGGGCAAGAGCUCUGUAUCGACUGGCUGGGUCUAGAUUUGGUUUUAUUUUGGUUCUCGCCCUAGUGCUUGGGCACGGGCUGGUUGUAUGGUGACUUGAGAACUUUUGUAUUCUCGACGGUUGUACUUUUUUCUGAGAUAGCAAUGUAUAUAAGCUUUGUUUUAAGUUUGGAUCCUCGUUUUGUUUUUCUUGUGGUUCUAUUUCUGAUUUGUGUGAGUGAAUGACUGAGUCCCGGCGAGAGUUGAGCAGGCGGCCCGCCGAACCCUCUGGUUCGCCUAAGGGGGAAGUGGGGCCGUCACACAACAUCUAAUAAAAAAGUCUUGGGUUAAAGGUGCUAAUUGCAUACCCACUCACAAUUCGCGAGAUCAACCCCUGUAUUGUUAUUGCGAAUCUUGAAUAGCCUUUUCAGCUUAGCAGAUAAGCUGGCAUUAGACUGCUUGUCGAAUUUUUUCAUUUUUAAAUUUUUUUCCUACAACCAAUAACAUAGGCGAGUAGAAGACAUCAGUAAUAGUGUACUGGCUCGUCAUACCAAUUUAGAUAUGAUGCUGACAAAAUUUAACACAUUACAAGAUGCAGUCCAAAUUUCAUACUCACAACUGGGGUUCAACGAUGUAGCGUUCAAGUAACUAACACCCAACAUAUAUACAUAGUCAAGUAACGAUGGGUUCAACUGUGACGGCCCCACCUCCCCCUAGGGCGUACCCCAGGGUUUAGUGGACCGCCUGCCCAACUCUCGCCAGGACUCACUCACUCAUAGCUCAAUGAAAAAAAACUAAUAACGUAUCCAUAGAAAAUAAAUAACACAUCCACUUCAACUUAAUAUAUAUAUUGAUACCCAAAUCCAAAUACAAAGCUUCUAAAUACCAAAAUACUUCAAAGUGUUUACAAUUCGAGUACAAUCAAUCCUAGUUGGGUGCUAGCGUGAGUACAAAUACAAAAUUCAAAACAACUAGACUACGCUAGCCUGUACACGUCUCACGCCUCGCUCGUACCCCCUGUAAGGAAAAUAAAUGACGUGGAAUGAGCUAAAAGCCCAGUGAGGUUCCAAAUAGCAAGUUAACCCUUAUUUAAAAGUGCAAGUUUCACGUAGCAAAGUAAUGACCAUGAAUAGUUCAUAAAAGUGAGCAAUAAUAUUUCAAGUAGCAAAUCUCAAAGUGAGCGAGUGUAAAAGUUUUUCAGAAUAAACAAUAAUCCAAUAAACAAUAAUCACUCCAAAGUAUAAGGAUACGGAUGGCUCUCAGGAGCCAAAUUUCCAUUGCAUCACCAGAGCUUGAUCAAGUAAUAGUUGACACUCCGUCAACUUUUAAGUAAGUAACCAAUCCAGUAGAACACCACUUACACGACUCUCCGUCCACCAUUCACACCCCCUACUGGGCCCAAAAUCCUCAAUAAACACGGGUGGUAAUACUCGAGUAUACCGAUUAGUCGAGGAGAUAACACUCCACUCGACAUCACGAACUACCCAUGGUUCGUUAUCUAAUCGACCAAGCCCUUGCCGGCUCGACUCGAUUAACUAGCCAGUGAGUUGGGGUUCCCCAAAAGUCGACGAGGUAACACUCCAAUCGACUGAAUUAAAAUCAAAGUACGAAUACGGGAAUGAGAGGCACCUCCCACUCGGAUUGAGUGUGGUACAUACUGCCGCUCCGCACUUACAACUCAAGUACAAGUAUAUCGAAUCAAUUGCAACAAUAAACAAGUAUAUAUCAUAUUAAGGCAAAUGCAAUAAAGUACACCCUUGCCCGAUCAACAAAUCUCGUAUCAUGUAUUUCAUGGAUCAAGUAUCAAAACAAGUGUCCAAUUCAACCAGAUAUUUGGAAGCACUCACCAAAAUGAAGUGCCCCUAGUAAUCACGUCUGGGUUAUACUCUGGGUUCGGAGUCCAAAUCUGCGAUAAAACUCAAUUUGAGAACUUUGAAACAUGACUAAGAUUCGAAACUUAGACGUUUCAUUCAAUAAGAAUCAAGAAAUGGAAAUUUACUUGGAGAAUAUUCGUGAAACACUCGCUCGCUUUUCAAACUAUAUAACUUUGUAACAUUUAUACUUGGAAAUGCCAUUCGAGUCGAAAGUACAAGGAAAACGUACUCCGAGCAGUCAUUAUUUUAUUUCUCAAGGGUACAAGUUCAGCCAAAUUCUUACUUAUAUACCUCGGUAAAAGAAGACGCAAAUAUCCUAGAUGAUUCAAGUAGUAAUCACUCUUAACCUUUACUCAAGUCGCAAGUAUAUUUCUCUAGUCCUCGAGCGUAAAUUUGGGCAGCAUGCCCUUUGUGUUUACCUAAUUUUCCAGCCAUUUUGGCUUCAUUAUUUUUCUCAUUCAAACCCAAAAGUACACACUCAACAAUCUAACUUCAAUAGCCGUCCAAUAGGCUCAAGACAAUACAAGGACAAAAAUCAACUAACAACAAGUGCGGAAAUCAAGUUUACAAAAGACAGAUUUGACGGGUUUUUGCGGAAAGAACACAUCUGAGGCUACGCUUAUCGGAUUGGUGUGAAACUUAUACCAUUUCGAAGCUAAGAUGAAGUUCUACAACUUUCAUGAAGAUCACUUGGUCAAAUUUCCAGUGUAACCUAAUCAAAUUCCCAGUUCACCGAACCAGGUUCCAACUAAUCGGCUAAUUAACCAUACUACACUAGAAUGGUCAUAUCUCAGGCUACCAAGGUCCGUUUAAGGUGUUCUUGUAGGUGUUGAAAAGCUAAGACAGAGUACUAAAACUUUCAUGUUUUGGAAAAUGGCUAAAUUAGCACGGAUCCUAGUGAAUAAACAUGAUAAACUGGAUGAACUGACUAAAACGGAACACUGGAAACAUCCUAAAAUAGUGAGGGUAUUUUGGUCUUUUCACAGGAUACGUUGCUCCGAUUGAGCUGAAAUUUUGUAGGCAACUAUAAAAUACCAUUAUCUACAACUUUCAUGUUUUAUUCCAAGCCUAAUUCGGCCUCUAACAUGGUGAAUAAAACCGGACAGAAUAGAGCUGAAAUUUUCCAGAAAUCUGGAAUUUUGGGAUUCAAUGCAACCUUUCUUGAUUUCUUGCUCCAAUCAUCACCACAACCACUUAUAUAAGCUUAAAUACAACAUAUAUCAUCCAUAUAGCAAGGAUAGGCAGCAAAUACCUCAAACCCUAACUCACAUAAAUCACCUUUAAAUCAUCAUAACAACUUGUAUCACCACUAAUCCAACCAAAACAAGUAUUAUAUAACAACUUAAACCAAAAUAAAAGAACCAAAGCCAUGAUUUAGCCUUAUACCUCAACAAAUGAAGCUUGUAAGAGUGAUACUUCACCUCCUCUUGGAAUUCUUGGUUCCCCUAGCUUCUCAAGCUCACAACUCACUCUUUAAUCGGUUUAGAAUUUUAGUUCCUCACUUAACACUCACAAACUCAAGAUAAAAAUGGCAGCUCUCACUUGGGUUUUUCUCUCCCUCUCUCUCGGCCAAACAACAGAAAAAAUGAAGAAGAAAUGCAGCUCCAAGGUGAUAAGAAGGUUGGACAAUUGGUCUUGGUCAAGACCCUUAAUGGUGUGACACUUGUCACCACCAAGUACCAAGCAAAAUUUUCUUUUUCUUUCUUGCAAUUUCAGCCCCAAAAUUCGGUCAAGGCUAGCUGGAAAUUAAGGAGAUAUUUUGCUCAAAUAUUAAUGAGCUUGUAUGGUAAGAAAGUGGUGUGUUUAAUCGGUAGUGCACGGUAUACGUCGGUUCGUACCGUUUUUCCUUAAUUCACGCGUACUAGGGUUUUUACUUCCUAUUCACUAACUUUAUAUCAUUGCUUCUAAUCACAUAUUAUUUCUCACCUAAAAGUCACUCUUAAGCACCAAAUUUGAUCCUUGCUCCGUACCGGAUAAUUACACUACGGAUACACGUGAAAACCCUAACUUGCUCCAACUUGAAAACAAAAAGUGAAACCCUACUUUCUAGGUUCAUUUGCACUUAUUGUGGAAUAAUUGGGUAGUAGGGCUAUAAUAAAUGAAUAAUUUCCAAAUAAAAGGGCAUUUUUGAGAAAAAUAUGAGGGUUUUACAAUUCCACAAAUUGAAUUUAGGGUUUCGGUUGAAAUAUGAGAAAUUUGAGAAAACGGUCAAUCACAAGUGAAACUAGGGUUUCGCUUAGACUUUUAGGGUUUCUAGUCUUUUAAAACAAAACAAGGUUUUAAAUCAAACCCUAAAGAAAUAACUUUAGUAUUUUCUUUAAAACAAAACAAUAGUUUAAAAUAAAAUAAAUUAAAGAAACCGUAAUAUCCUCUUUGAGACUAAACAAAAGAUGAUUCGAAAAGUUGGGGUAUCACAUCAACGAUCUAAUCUCUCUUUUACAUAUCAAGUAACUAACACCUAACAUGAUGUACAUUUUUGUAAACUGAUUGUACCUCAUAGAUCAUCCUGUGUAAGAUACUCACAGACAAACAAAGACUGCUCAUACAAGUAAAAUUACAUAUCUACUAUAGGGAGAUGCAUAAAUUGAUAAAGGGCUAAAUAACUGUUCCAAAUUUAUGCGUACAAUUAUACUACCUUUUAUAGAUAUACGCAGUUAAGUAACUAAUAUCUAACAUAAUGUAUAUUUUUAUAAACUAAUUGUACCUCAUACAUCAUUCCGUGUAAGAUGCUUAUAGAUAAAUUAGUAUUAUUCAUAUAGAUAAAAUUAUAAACCUACUGCAGCCUACAAGGAGAUGCACAAGUGGGCCAAAACAUCAAUAAUCAUUCCAAAUGUAUGCAUGCCAUUGCACCAUGCAUAUUGCAAACUAUGCAUAUUGCUGUGAUGACUAAUUGCAAUAUGCAUGUGAGUAAAUAACCGCAUGUUAAACAAUUUCUAUGCAUCGUAUUGAUGAAUAACAUAUUAUUCAUUCUGAUAAAUAUGGUGUACAUCACACACCUUAUCUAGGUCAAUAAUCAUUUCAAAGUUAUACAUACCAUUGCAGUACCUUUUACAGAUAUACACAGUCAAGUAACUAAUACCUAACAUGAUGUACAUUUUUGUAAAUUGAUUGUACCUCAUAGAUCACCCCAUAUAAGGUGCUUAUAGGCAAAUUAGUAUUACUCGUACAAGUAAUAUUACACAUCUACUACAGCUUGUAAGGAGAUGCCCAAGUUGGUCAAGGCACCAAUAACCUUUUCAAAGGUAUGCAUACCAUUACACUAUCUUUUAUAGAUAUGCACAUUCAAGUAACUAAUACCUAAAAUGACGUACAUUUUAGUAAACUAAUUGUAUUUAUACAUCACACUGUAUAAGGUAUUUACAGACAAGUCAGUACUACUCAUACAAGUAAAAAACAUUUACUAAAAAUCAGUACAAGUUGUGACUACGACGGCUAAUUGCAAUAUGCAUGUGGACAACUAACUGCAUAUUCAAUAAUUUGUACACAUUGUAUUUGGUCGGUUACACGGUGUACAUUAUUUCAAUCAGAUUAUACAUUCACUAAGUAUGUAUGUACUUGUCAUUCAUUGAAGUAAACUAUCUAUCUAAUUUAAUGCACUCUCGUAAGAACUAAUGGUCAAUUUCAUAGACGAUUGUAACAAAUAACCAUCUAGUAAAAAUAUCUGAUAUAAAUGUUAUUAAUGACUAACAUGCUAUACAUUCCAAUAAAUACGGUGUACAUCACAUACCUUGUCUAGACAAAAUCUUACAAGUUAUUCAAAGUUACGAAAUACUUUAAAAGCAAUUACAAGUAGUAAAAUUUAUAUCUUGCAACAAGUUACACCAUACUUUAAAAGCAAUUACGAGUAGGUAAAUAUCAUUGUAAUCAUGUUAUGGAAUACCUUUCAAUAAGUGUACCUUCUUGAUGUUGUCAAGCCAUCCUAAUCCUUGUUUAGGUAGACUUUUCGGAUGCUAAAACCUAUGACAAAAUCAUAUAUGUGAGUAAUGGUCGCAUAGUGUCACAUUUGUGCACAAUAGGUUUCCGAUAAUAUACAUGUUGUUAGAUGACAGUUACGGUUUAUAGUCAUAAAUGUACGCAUUGUGAGUCAGACAUUACAGUGUUGUACUCUAUAUUUCAUUCGUGGAAUUUACAAUAACUCACUUUGCUUAUCUUUCAUCUUUGUAUGUGUCAACCUACUGUGAUGUAAGUGCCCAUACACAGUCGGUAAUACAGUUUAAACUAUAUGGUGUCACUGCUAUCCUGCAACAAGAAUAAAAAAAAAAAAGCAAGGAACAAUUACCUUCACACUCUCCCUGUUAUUUUAUAUAUCUAUAAACAUCCUAAGUCAUUUAAUUCGUCUAUUGAGUCAAAUUUACAAACACUUGGCAUGCAAAAGUUCCCUGUGCAUACGUUCUUUAAGUUGGCUCUCAAUGUAUCUAAUUUGUGCUACCCAUAUGAUUUCCUUGCUUAGGAGUUUUCACCAGAGUUCCAAUUUCAUUACUCAUAUCACACUGUCUUAAACAAGUUGUAUGAACAAAAUCAUGCAAGUAAAUUCAUCCCCCUUCUGUCGCAAAACAAGCCAAAUAGUGCAAUGAGUUUGCAAUAUUCUUACCUUUGGGAUUUAGUCCAAUUCGAUUGAGUCUUUUUCUGCUUUAGAUCUCACCAACUUCUGCCUUUUUGCAACCUUUAUGAAAAAUUUUUGUCCUGCAAUAGUUACUUCUUGUGUUCCCUCAGUAUACUGAUUGAUGAUACUAUAUUUCUGCAACACUUUCUCCAAAAAUCUCUCAUUUGAAAUUUUUCAAUUUGGGAUAGGGAUAUUACUUUGCUGAUACUCUGGAAUUGUGAAUGACUGUUUACAGGAUAUGUUUUUAGAGGGAGACCAAAUUUUUAUUUCAUUUGAAGAUUUCAGAUGAAGAGUCGUGCCUCAUUAAUUUGAGCGAGAAUUUUUUGAACGGACAGCUGAGGUAUUUUAACGGAGUCCGUUAGCCUCUCAAAUGUUUUUUUUUUAUUUUUUUCUCUACUCACUUACUAAAACAGCGUCGUUUCCUUUGUUGCUGCCUCCAUUAUACGUGGCUUGUUGCAGUCCUCUCAUUUCCUUUUGUGAGAGGACUGCUCAGGGACGGUCGACCUGAUGACCGUCCCUGCCCCAAAUCCUUGAGUCACGAACUUAAUAUGUUUGAAGGCAGCACUUCCCAAUUUACUUUUCGAAGUGGUGUUGUCAGACCCAAAUUGGACCAACUGGUCCAAUUGCAGAUCGGCUUCUUCUCGGAUUCGGGGCAGGGACGGUCAUCAGGUCGACCGUCCCUGAGCAGUCCUCUCACAAAAGGAAAUGAGAGGACUGCAACAAGCCACGUAUAAUGGUGGCAGCAACAAAGAAAAAUGACAUCGUUUCAUUGAGUGGGUAGAAUAAAAAAGUAAAAAAUGUAUUGAAAUCCUAACGGUGUUCGUUUGGGGCAAACGGACUGAUUCAAAAUUCAAAUAUCAAAUGCAAAAUUUUGAAUCAACCGCAUAAAAUGAGAAGAAAAAGUCGAGAAAGCAUGGAUUUAUUCUUUUGUACACCAAAAUAAGUCUUGCUAUCUCUACAGAUAUUUGUCAAAAAUAAUUGAGAGAUAAAAAUGCAAACAUUGAAGUGGGAGGAGAAAUUUAGGGCAUGUUUAUGAGAAGAAGAAAGGAGGCCAAAUCUAUUAAGAGGAAGCCAAGCUCAUGAGGCACUUUGAGUGAAGAUGGAAGGACCAAUUUAUCUUUGUAGACAUCUCUAGGAGGAAAUGCAACAAUUGAAUGAGGUUAAAAAUUGUUAGGACAAUUUCUCUGCAUCCUUUCCAGCGCAGGCAGCAAAGUAGAAGGGAAUAGAGGAAAUAUAUUUACAACAGUCUCCAGUUUUGUCGAACAACUAAGUAACAGCAACUGUGCCAUCCGACGUUGGUGAAACAUAAUCCCCCAAUUCGACGAAGGUAAUGUCACUGAACCAUGUUCUGAACUACAUCUAAUGAUUUGUCACCUAAGGUAAGAGCCAACUUGGGGGAGGUAUGCACAAGGAACUUAUGCGUGCCAAGUGUUUGUAAAUUUGACUUAGUAGACGAAUUAAAUGACUUGGAAAGUUUAUCAGCAUAUAAAAUAAUAAGAAGAGUAUGAAGGUAAUCAUUACUUGCUUUUUUCAUUCUUGUUGUAGGAUAGUAGUGAUACCAUACAGUUUAGAAUUUAUUACUGACUGUGAAUAGGCGUUCACAUCAUAGUAAACUGACACAUACAAAGAUAAAAGAUAAGUAAAGUGAGCCAUUGUAAAUUACACGAAUGAAAUAAGGAGUACAACAAAAUUCUACCAGGAUUACAAGGUAUCUAAGUGAAUGUGGCUAGUUAUACUUUUUAAUAGCAUUUUUUUUAGAUAAAUUACUAAUAGUUGAGAAAUACUUUCAUGUAUCUCUGAAGAAGGACUCUUCCAAAAUUAUGAGAUAUUUGAGCGAUUAUGGCUAACUAUACUUCUUGAUAUCAAAUAUAUUUUAAGAUAAAUUGCUGAUAGUUGAGGAUGCAGGGUCUGGACGGUUGCCAGUAACAACUGUUCGGAAUGAUGUAAUAUUUUUUGAACAAUGUGUAACUUUAUAUGAACUACUUGUAAAAUUUAACAACAGCGAUGAAUUAUUAUAUAUGAGAUCCACAUGAACAAUAACACAAUAUCACACCUCUAUUGUAAGAAUGUGCAAGAAAUUUACAUAGAACUACAAAAUAUUCAAAAGAAGUUACAUUGUUCAAGAACAAUUAAACUGGCAACCGUCCUUGUCCCGUAUCCGAUAGUUAAUAAAUACUCCCAUGUAUCUCUAAUUAAGUGGGUUCUAAUAUGGUUUGACAUCUAUAUACAUAGAGAAUCACAUUUGAGUGGAAAAUAAUAAAAAAAGAGAAUAGUGGGUACAAGGGGGAGGGAACUGCACACUUUAUUAAUUAAACAUUGUUGGUUGCUACUUCAUGUUAGAAAUUUGGUACCUAUUCAUGCAAUAGUAGUGAAUUAAUUAAAAAGAAUUUCUUUUAAACUUGGUUAGUAUAAGUGCAGAUUGUACGAUAUAUGUGUUACACUAUGCACAUAUUAUUUUGCUAAACUUACCUAGUAAAAGAAAUUGGUUGCGAUUCAGUGUGUAUUGACAUCAUGUUAGAGAAGUAUUAUUUUAUGUGAAUAAAUAGUAACAAUAGAUUCAGAUUGUGAUAGUGUUGUAAAAUGGUUUCAGAUAAGAGGUUUUUGGAAGAAGUGUUGCAGAAAUAUAGUGUCAUCAGUCAAUGUACUGAGGGAACACGAGAAAUAACUGCUGCGGGACAAGAAUUUUUCAUAAAGGCUACAAAAUGGUGAAAGUUGGUGAGAUCUGAAGCAGAAAUACACUCAAUCAAAUUGGACUAAAUCACAUAGGUAAGAAUAUUGCAAACUCAUCACAAUAUUUGGCUUGUUUUGUGACUGAAGAAGAAUAAACUUACUUGCAUGGUUUUGUUUGUACAACUUGUUUAAGAUGGUGUGACAUGAAUAAUGAAAUUGAAAUUCUGACGAAACUCCUAAAUGAGGAAACUGUGGAUAACACAAGUUAAAUACACUAAGAGCCAACUUGGGGGAGGUAUGCACAGGAAACUUAUGCACGUCAAGUGUUUGUAAAUUUGACUCAGCAGACGAAUUAAAUGACUUAGGAAGUUUAUAAACAUAUAAAAUAAUAGGGAGAAUAUGAAGGUAAUUGUUGCUUUUUUUUUUAUUCUUGUUGCAAGAUAGUAGUGACACCGUACAAUUUAGACUGCAUUACCAACUGUGUAUGGGUACUCACAUCACAGUAGACUGACACAUACAAAGAUAAAGAUAGCCAAAUUGAGUCAUUGUAAAUUACAUAAAUGAAAUAGGGAGUACAAUAAAGAGGGAUUCUUUCAAGAUUACAAGGUAUCUGAGUGAUUGUGGCUAGCUGUACUUCUUGAUCAUAGUAGAUUAACACAUACAAAAAUAAAGAUAAGUAAAUUGAGUCAUUGUAAAUUACACGAAUGAAAUAGGGAGUACAACAAAGAGGGAUUCCUUCAAGAUUACAAGGUAUCUGAGUGAUUGUUGCUAGCUGUACUUCUUGAUCACAAAUAUUUUUUGAGAUAAACUACUUAUGAUUGGGAAAUACACUCAUGGAUCUCUAAAGAGGGAUUCUUCUAGGAUUAUGAGAUAUCUGAGUAAUUGUGGCUAACUAUACUUCUUGAUAGUAAAUAUUUUUUGAGAUAAACUACUAGUAGUUAAGAAAUACUCUUAUGUAUCUCUAAUUAAGUGGGUUCUAACAUAAUUUGGCAUCUAUAAACGUAAAGAAUCACAUUGGAGCGAGAAAUGAAAAAAGAAAUAAUGAACACAAAGGGGGAGGAAACUGCACACUUUAUUAAUUAAACAUUGCCAGUUGCUACCUUAUGUUAGAAAUUUGGUACCUAUUCAUGCAAUAGCAAUGAAUUAAUUAAAGAGGAUUUCUUUUAAAUUUGAUAUGAGUGUAGAUUGUAGAUAAAUGUGUUACGCUAUGUACAUAUUGUUUAGCUGGAUUUACCUAAUGAAAGAAAUUGGUUACAAUUCAAUGUUCCUUAACAUCAUGUUGGAGAAAUAUUAUUUUAUCUGAAUAAAUAGUGACCAUGAAGUAAAACUGGUAUGGUAUUGUAAAUUAGUAUUUCACUAAUGUAAUGAUAUUAAAAUAGUUCAUCAACUGACUUAGUUUCGGUUAGUAUAAAAUGGGCAUGGUUUUAACUUUUAUUUGGAUGUUUCUAACAGCACAAUUAAUUAUGAUGAUGUUACAUUGUGUGAUGAUUUUGUUAAGGCUGACAUCCCUCCUGAUAUACCUUUUUUGUCUGUCUUAUACAAUUAUUUGGCCCAGACAAAACUCGUAGAUGCAUUCAAUGAGCCAGUCAGUAAAUGGCUCUCCAAACGUUGUUGCUCUCGAAAUCAAGGAAAGUCCAACGGUAUGCAUACAUUUAGUAGAUAAAAUAAAGUCCUUUUUUCGUAUCGUAGAGCUACUUUUUCUUUAAUUGUAAUGGUGGGCACCCGAAUGUUGUCGAAGCAUGCAUAUUUUGUAGUUAACAUUUAAUGCUUUAAUGUCAUAUUAUUUUGUAUUAUCCGAAAGUCCACCGAUUGGCUAAUCAGGGGCCUCAUUGAAGUGUCCCUACAGAAUAGAUGCACCUCAAAUUUUUUAUAUUUUUUAAGUAUAACUCCGUCAGAGAUAUCUUAAUGAUCUGAAAUAUCAUUUUUGUUAUAACGUCUAGUCCAAUUUAGCUUUGUAACUGAGCAGUAUAGGCAUUGCUAAUAUGUUGUUGAUAGUUGAAUAGUUAUAUUAUACAAAGUAGGCGGAGCGUGCGGCAAUUUCAACACACUGUGAUAAGGAUGCAUAUCAUGUAUUUUCACCAUCAUCCUAGGUGAUAAACUUUUAUCAUUACAUCACAUAUUUAUAGUAUCUUGUUAAUUGGAUACUUCGACAGCAUAUAUCAUUAACCGUAUGUUCCAUUAACUAUAUUGACUGAUUUGCCAUCGUUACGCGUUUCAGGAAAGAAAUAACACCUAGGGAUUGCGACUAACUGUUGACGUCAACUCCCCUCAGUUGCAGGUUGAUGAAUGAUAUGUACCUACAAUUUUUAUGAAUACAAAACAAUUGGUUGUUCCAAAUAUCCGUUUUCCAAGUUCACCUCAUUUACUGAUGUUUGUACUUGUCCAGAGAAGAUAUUGCUCAGUUUUGAUCGGUUCCGUAUUGUAAGCUUGUUUUAGUAUACAAUCUCUCAAUGAAUUAGUGCUUGUUGACAGUAACUCUAAAAUUACUUCGGACAUUAAGUGUCUAGCACCAGAUUUGCGGUGUCUAGUACCAGAUUUUUUAGACAUUAGGUGUCUACAUCAGAUUUUUCUGACAUGAAGAUGUUUAAUACCAGAGUUACGGUGUUUGUAGAUGAACAUUUACUAAAUGCAGUCAUGUUGUCCCUACCAGGGAAUGCCGCAUAUAUAGGAUACAAGAAGUUCAUAAGCUGUUACAACUUAUUGAUGUGCUUGUACAGACACCUUGUCAUGUUCGUUUAUGUUAAAACUUAGAUAUGUGAUUUACAAUUGUAUUAACGAUGAGUAUUACAGAUAGAAUUAUAAGAACUUCAUUAGGUAUCACUCCUUUAGUACGAAAAGAAAGUUACAAUUGGCAUCUGGGAUUGGUUCCACACGACCACAUGCCAAGUAACAGUUUCACAGAAGAACAUGAUACUUCGUUGGGACAACUAAUUUGAAAGUGGGAUAACUAAUAUUUCAAAUGCAACAAAUAGUCAUAACGAGAUGUACAGAUUGAGUUACAACCAGUUAGGUGUAUGUUACAAUUCAUUACAACUAAUGAAUUUGCAAUCGGCAGCUUUUCAUCUUCUCUAGUUAAAACUAGUGAUAUUAUAACUAGUGAUUUUACAACUAGUGAUAUUCCUCAAUGUUACAACUAGUGAUAUUACAACUAGUUAACAUCCGAUAAACCUUUCCUUUUCUUUUGCUUGUGCAAUUGCCCUUGGCACAAACAAUAAUUCUUCCCUCCGACACAUUAAAUUUCUUAGGCACUUUAUGAAGUAUCUAAUGAGAAUACAGAGAUGAUCAUUUCGAACUCCAAAAUAUUUGAUGUAGCGAGACCUUCUCGAGUAUCUCAUUAAAAUAGCGAGAUCUUUCCAAACAUCAAGCAAACCUGGAUGCUUUUAAUUGGCUCACAAGAGCUUGAUUUAAAACUGAACACUGUAUUGAUGAGACUGUAAUCCUUGUUAUAGGGAGGUUGAAGAUAAAAUAAAUGAAUCGAGUACACGGGUCCAUUGCCGCUUUAAUAUAAAGAGAAAUUGGAAGUGUGAAGUUGAAUAACAAUGCAGGCGAAAAUGAAAGGGGGACGAACAAACUGGAGUCUGUGUAAGGGAUAUACGCCUACAAGGGAGGCCUUUUAUAGUCCGUAAUACCCUUUAAUAUGGUAAAAUAUCAAACCCCAAUGCAUAUAAGGCCAACUAGUACAUCACGGAAGUGGAAGCUAUAGAGUCACAUACAGCGCCUGAACCAUGUCGGAUCAGAAUACUUAUGUACAAAGCGUGAAAUUUGUAGUGCCAAGAGUCUUGUUUCGUGUUACAUCGUGUUGCAAAUUAGUUACAAACUUUAGCACAAUUUUUGGGGAGACAUGUAUGAACCCCAUACUGUGAUGUGUUCGUCGUCCAAAUUUAACAACAGGUACACUGAUGUACAUAUGAAAACUAUUAAUUUAAACGUUCCAUUAACAUACAACAAGGUUAACGUAGUCCUUCUCAUCGGACCUGAUUCUAGUCUACACCAAUUCAAAAGCUACAAGGUACACAUAACAAUGUACAAAUGGGAGAAGAUUCAAUUUUGUCAAACUACAGUCGCAUCUUACUUAAUGAAAUUCAAGCAUUACCAACAUCCUACCAUGCCCGUCUUGCUUCUUUCAGGUUUGAAAAGCUGUCCAAAAGCUUAGAGUUCUUUGCUGAGGUACACAAUCAAGUUGUGUACAGCACUCAAUACUUGCCAACAUUUUCCUAUCCAAUUUAAACAUAAUAGUAAUUUUUCAUGUCCAUGGUAACAACUAUUUUCCACAAUUCCAGAUGUAAAUUAGGAAAAAAAUAUAAGCAAAUUAUAAUACCUUUGUAAGCCAAACAGCUAAUCUUCUGCUCCAAUGCUCUAGGAAUGUUAUGAUGAAAAUACCACUAUCACAACUGUUCAUGUUGACUUCACAUUAGAGAGGUUGGAGUUUAUAUGUUGUAAUAAAAUAUUUGCAGCUGUAACAAUUAAACAUGUGAGAAGUAAAACUAUUUAUACUUUAUUUGGUGACUGAUGAGAGACAUCGGCAAGUGCAAACGAGAAACUGGAGAAGUCAAUAGCGAGGCCAAACUUUGUCGCCACGAUCAACCCCAAGGCAUGUUUCUAUAGCACCAAAGAUUAUGUCAAGCAGAUUAGAAACACUACAAUAUAGUUCCCUUCUCUUGUAAUGCAUUUAGGUGACAGUCCAACAUAUCAGUCAAUUAAGUACACUUAUGUCUUUACUCUUUGCUUGAUCGCUAUUAGGAUCUAGCAGGUACAUUUGUCUCUGUGAGACAUCAAAGCUGUAAACAAAUCAAUACCCCUCUGUGCAUACCGGAACAAGUAUCUAAAACGAAUGAGGUAUAAAAAUAAAAUAACACAGAAAAGGUAUGUAACCUGAUUCUACAUUUUUGGAUAUUCAACAUCUAAUAAAAAAGUCUUAGGUUAAAGGUGCUAAUUGCAUACCCACUCACAAUUCGCGGGAUCAACCCCUGUAUUGUUAGCAAAUCUUGAAUAGCUUUUUCAGCUUAGCAGAUAAGCUGGCAUCAGACUGCUUGUCGAAUUUUUUCAUUUUUAAAAUUUUUUCCUACAACCAAUAACAUAGGCGAGUAGAAGACAUCAGUAAUAGUGUACUGGCUCGUCAUACCAAUUUAGAUAUGAUGCUGAAAAAAUUUAACACAUUACAAGAUGCAGUCCAAAUUUCAUACUCACAACUGGGGUUCAACGAUGUAGCGUUCAAGUAACUAACACCUAACAUAUAUACAUAGUCAAGUAACGAUGGGUUCAACGAUCUAAUCUCUCUUUUACAUAUCAAGUAACUAACACCUAACAUGAUGUACAUUUUUGUAAACUGAUUGUACCUCAUAGAUCAUCCUGUGUAAGAUACUCACAGACAAACAAAGACUGCUCAUACAAGUAAAAUUACACAUCUACUAUAGGGAGAUGCAUAAAUUGAUAAAAGGGCUAAAUAACUGUUCCAAAUUUAUGUGUACAAUUAUACUACCUUUUAUAGAUAUACGCAGUUAAGUAACUAAUAUCUAACAUAAUGUAUAUUUUUAUAAACUAAUUGUACCUCAUACAUCAUUCCGUGUAAGAUGCUUAUAGAUAAAUUAGUAUUAUUCAUAUAGAUAAAAUUAUAAACCCACUGCAGCCUACAAGGAGAUGCACAAGUGGGCCAAAACAUCAAUAAUCAUUCCAAAUGUAUGCAUGCCAUUGCACCAUGCAUAUUGCAAACUAUGCAUAUUGCUGUGAUGACUAAUUGCAAUAUGCAUGUGAGUAAAUAACCGCAUGUUUAACAAUUUCUAUGCAUCGUAUUGAUGAAUAACAUAUUAUUCAUUCUGAUAAAUAUGGUGUACAUCACACACCUUAUCUAGGUCAAUAAUCAUUUCAAAGUUAUACAUACCAUUGCAGUACCUUUUACAGAUAUACACAGUCAAGUAACUAAUACCUAACAUGAUGUACAUUUUUGUAAACUGAUUGUACCUCAUAGAUCACCCCAUAUAAGGUGCUUAUAGGCAAAUUAGUAUUACUCGUACAAGUAAUAUUACACAUCUACUGCAGCUUGUAAGGAGAUGCCCAAAUUGGUCAAGGCACCAAUAACCUUUUCAAAGGUAUGCAUACCAUUACACUAUCUUUUAUAAAUAUGCACAUUCAAGUAACUAAUACCUAAAAUGACGUACAUUUUAGUAAACUAAUUGUAUUUAUACAUCACACUGUAUAAGGUAUUUACAGACAAGUCAGUACUACUCAUACAAGUAAAAAAUAUUUACUAAAAAUCAAUACAAGUUGUGACUACGACGGCUAAUUGCAAUAUGCAUGUGGACAACUAACUGCAUAUUCAAUAAUUUGUACACAUUGUAUUUGGUCGGUUACACGGUGUACAUUAUUUCAAUCAGAUUAUACAUUCACUAAGUAUGUAUGUACUUGUCAUUCAUUGAAGUAAACUAUCUAUCUAAUUUAAUGCACUCUCGUAAGAACUAUUGGUCAAUUUCAUAGACGAUUGUAACAAAUAACCAUCUAGUAAAAACAUCUGAUAUAAAUGUUAUUAAUGACUAACAUGCUAUACAUUCCAAUAAAUACGGUGUACAUCACAUACCUUGGCUAGACAAAAUCUUACAAGUUAUUUAAAGUUACGACAUACUCUAAAAGCAAUUACAAGUAGUAAAAUUUAUAUCUUGCAACAAGUUACACCAUACUUUAAAAGCAAUUACGAGUAGGUAAAUAUCAUUGUAAUCAUGUUAUGGAAUACCUUUCAAUAAGUGUACCUUCUUGAUGUUGUCAAGCCAUCCUAAUCCUUGUUUAGGUAGACUUUUCGGAUUCUAAAACCUAUGACAAAAUCAUAUAUGUGAGUAAUGGUCGCAUAGUGUCACAGUUGUGCACAAUAGGUUUCCGAUAAUAUACAUGUUGUUAGAUGACAGUUACGGUUUAUAGUCAUAAAUGUACGCAUUGUGAGUUAGACAUUACAGUGUUGUACUCUAUAUUUCAUUCGUGGAAUUUACAAUAACUCGCUUUGCUUAUCUUUUAUCUUUGUAUGUGUCAAUCUACUGUGAUGUAAGUGCCCAUACACAGUCGGUAAUAUAGUUUAAACUAUAUGGUGUCACUGCUAUCCUGCAACAAGAAUAAAAAAAAAAGCAAGGAACAAUUGCCUUCACACUCUCCCUGUUAUUUUAUAUAUCUAUAAACAUCCUAAGUCAUUUAAUUCGUCUAUUGAGUCAAAUUUACAAACACUUGGCAUGCAUAAGUUCCCUGUGCAUACGUUCUUUAAGUUGGCUCUUAAUGUAUCUAAUUUGUGCUAUCCAUAUGAUUUCCUUGCUUAGGAGUUUUCACCAGAGUUCCAAUUUCAUUACUCAUGUCACACUGUCUUAAACAAGUUGUAUGAACAAAAUCAUGCAAGUAAAUUCAUCCCCCUUCUGUCGUAAAAUAAGCCAAUAGUGCAAUGAGUUUGCAAUAUUCUUACCUUUGGGGUUUAGUCCAAUUCGAUUGAGUCUAUUUCUGCUUCAGAUCUCACCAAUUUCUGCCUUUUUGCAACCUUUAUGAAAAAUUUUUGUCCUGCAAUAGUUACUUCUUGUGUUCCCUCAGUAUACUGAUUGAUGAUACUAUAUUUCUGCAACACUUUCUCCAAAAAUCUCUCAUUUGAAAUUUUUCAAUUUAGGGUAGGGAUAUUAUUUUGCUGAUACUCUGGAAUUGUGAAUGAAUGUUUACAAGAUAUGUUUUUGGAGGGAGACCAAAUUUUUAUUUCAUUUGAAGAUUUCAGAUGAAGAGUCGUGCCUCAUUAAUUUGAGCGGGAAUUUUUGGAACGGACAGCUGAGGUAUUUUAACGGAGUCCGUUAGCCUCUGAAAUGUUUUUUUUAUUUAUUUUUUUCUCUACUCACUUACUAAAACAGCGUCGUUUCCUUUGUUGCUGCCUCCAUUAUACGUGGCUUGUUGCAGUCCUCUCAUUUCCUUUUGUGAGAGGACUGCUCAGGGACGGUCGACCUGAUGACCGUCCCUGCCCCAAAUCCCUUCUUCUCGUGUUGGUCUGUGCUACCGUCCCUGCCCCAAAUCCCUUCUUCUCGUGUUGGUCAGUAGUACAGAACCUCUCUUGUCAAAAAUCAGUAAAAACUGUAAAAAAAUCGUUCAAAUUCAUGGCACUGUUCGAUCGCUUAAACUUGGUUCAUAACCUUUCCUUUCUCAUUUUUCUCAAUUCCCAAAAGUGAAUUAUUUAACUUGUAAAAUUUCAUUUCUUUUUGAGAAUAAGAAAUGUCUCCUACUUAUUUGUGCUAGAUAGAAAAAAAAUAUCUCUAAAAUUAACUAAAUUUGUUUUCUUCUCUCUUCUGCUUUAAGUGUAAACAUUAAAAUCACUCAACCCUACAUGGCCUCUAAAUCAAGAUGUUCUCAUUCUUAAUUGUUUUUCCAUCAUGUAAUACUCAUUUCACAAUAAUUGAUAAAAUAGCCUAUUCAACAUUAUUUUUUUUAAAAGUUAGACAUAUAUAAAUAGAAUUUUACCAACUCUUUUACUUUUAAGUGUAAACACCAAAAUCAUUGGAUCCUAAAUGAUCUCUAAAUUAAGACUCUCACUCUUAAUUGUUUUCCCAUUAUAUAAUGCUCAUUGAAAAUUACCAAUAACAUAGCAUAUUCUACAUAAUUUUUUCAAAAGCAUAUUCUACAUAAUUUUUCAAAAGUUAAACAUAUAUAGAUAGAACUUUAAUGUGUUGACGUGUGGUUUAUUUAUUUAUUUAUUUUUAUCGGACACAAUAAAUUUUAAUGUAUGUCUAUUUCUACUCUAUACUAGGAGGAGGGGAUGACUCAAAGGGGUUAAGGGGAGAAUGCGGGGAAUUGAACUAUCAGCGAUUCAGAUGAAUACCUAUGCAUCUAAUAAUAAACUUUUCAGGAAUCCUGAAUUUUUUAAAUGCAGGCCAAGGAAUUUCACGCGUGGAUUAUGCCUCCUAGUACAUUUGUAAGAGAUCAUUGGGCAUUGUUGGUCGAUAUAAAGAAAUCAAACCACGCGUCGAGCGGUUAAUUCACGCCCCAAGUAGAAGAGGAAAAAACAAGUCGUUACCCUCUGCACCGGUCCUUCCAAGUCGCAAUUCCCAUCUUUGAAAUUUGUGCCUUUCUGCAUGAUUGAGAGUGUGAAAUAAGUAUCAUGGCGAUGACGGACCGAAACCAUGGAUUAUGGCGGCACUUGCCAGUUUUGGUGAGGGCCAACUCCAAGGAAUCAGUCGAGUAUAUUCUCCAAGCCCUUUG
rnacentral:lncRNA from 1 species